CAUGAAUGCCUUGGAGAGGAUCCAGAAAUACCAUAAAGGAGAGACUUGAAAGAGUCAUACAUAGGAAUCUCUGAGUUUUAUUUUUGAAAAUCUUACAAAGCUCUAGAAUAAUAGUUGAUCAAAGAGCUUGAAACAUGGUGCUUGACUUGACCUUCUGUCUUUCAACUACUUAAGACCCAAGUGACGGCUACAAGCCCCAUGGUGGACGGUAAUAUAAGUAAGUUUUUCAUGAAGAUAGUUCAUUCUAAUCCAGACAAUAAUUAUUAUUUGAACGCAUGUGUACUUAUAAGGCAUGAAAGCAUUGUAGCAACUCCUGAUCCACCAUUGAGUCUAUUUUGCUCAGGGACGAGCAAAAGGUAAGCUUAGGGGAGUUUGUUAAUGGUAGAUAAGUGUCAUUUUUAACCGUCAACAUAGCAUGAGAAAGGACCUAAAACAUAAUUGCAAUCUAGAUAUAGGGGUUACAUUAACAGAAUUCCAUGAGUUUUGGUGAAUGUUUAUUUUUGCAGGGUGUUUUUAGAAAAUGACCAAAGGAGGCCCACAUGUCUUAUUUACAUAGAGAGAAAAGGGCCAUGUAUAUAAAAAGAAUAAUCUAGAAGACUUGGAAAGCAAUCCCCUGGGAGGUGGGACCCACCUGUCACUAUGAUAGGUGUGAGCGCCCACCCCCCUAGGCGGUCGUCCCACCUAGGUGGCCAAUCACGAGCCACCUCACGGAUCAUGCCUUCACCACCUUCGAGGAUCAAUAAUAAUCGUUCAUCAAGGUCGGUUUGAUCCAAGGGUUUUGGUUCUUCCUAGAGGGCUAUAUAAGCAAGGCUCCUGGCCCCAAGAGAAACCCUAACUCAUUCCAAUUCAUUCAUCAUUCAGUCCAAGAUUUAGAGAAAUUAGUCCCAGAGCCACUAUCUCAAUUAGAUCUCUAUAGUUUAGUAGCAGCUACAUAGGAUUAGAACUAGAAGGAAGCAAGCAUCGCUUGGUUUCCAGAUCUGUCAAGAAGAUUCUUAGUAAUUCUCUCCUACUUUUAUAUUCAUUAUUGUAUUAUUCAUCUAGUUCAUCAUUUGUUUGAAUAUGACUUUACUCUAUUCUAUCAUAUUGGAUAUGACUUUGCUCUACUUGAUUAUGUUCUCAAUUAUAUUGUUCUUAGUCUACUUUGAUUAUAUGCUUGGCAUAGUUAGAUUAAAAUUAUAUUCAAGUGUAGGAUCAUAAAGCGCUUGCUCAUUGAAUUCAUGGGUGAGUGGUAAAUAUUGUGUAGGCGUGGUGCUUAUACCAUAUUUUCCUGUGAUUGCACUCUAUAUUUUAGACCAUGUGGUAGAUCGCGGGAGUGACAGUCCUGUUGAGUCAAUCGUUGUCCACCUCCUGAGUAUAGAGCAGACAAACCACAACUAUUAUAGGGAAGUGAUUGCUAUGUUCUUCAUAUUCCUUUGUCAUAUCACUAUGUAUAGAUAUAACAUCUUCUCGCUAUGAUUGCCAACUGUAAUUGCACUAGUCAUUGUAUGCUUUGACCUUAUAGUUAGAAUAACUUAGGAUUUAUCCUUGUAGUUUGUCCAAACCCAUGCUAGUGUUAUAAGCUUAGAGUAAUCUAUUGAAAUCUUCAUCAUAUAUUAUGUGGCUAUGUGCUUAUCUCUUAUUAUUUACUGUUCAUAUAUUAUUUAUCUUGUGACACUCUGUGUGAGAAGUUAGAUAAAGACAUGGUUAUACUCUCCAUUAUCACAUGCAGUGGUGCUCAUUGCUCAUUAUCUUAGCAUUUCCUUCCCAGUGGUAAAAAUAUAAAUAACGAUACCUUACUCCUGGUUAAAAUGCUACAUCGAUAUUAUCUAUGCGCUUGUGAAUUUCAUAUUCAUUCUAGAGCAUUUGCAUUUAUUAAUACCAGCACCUCUGGCGCCAUACUGGGAUGACAACCUAGCUUAGGUGGUGUUUGAGUUGUCAAUAAGCGUCAUGAGGAGAGAGAUGCACCGCUCUGGUCCAUCUCAUAGGGAAGGGAGAGAUCACUAGGUGCGCCGCUCUAGUCUGAAUAGAACGGCUAUUGGGUCUCUAAGUGACGUGAGAAAGAAAAGUGAAUAGAAAAGCCUUAGUUUCAGUAUUUAUACUCGAACAGCUAUUGGGUCUCACCAAGGCUUUUGGGGCUUCAGUUUUUUUAGAGGCGAGCCUUGUAGCGUGCCCACUUCCGAAAAUUAAUUUACGGAGGUGGGUUUCUUUAGAUGACUGUCUUUGAAAAUUUGUCAUUUUUGGAGACGGAUAUUUUAAGAUGUCUGCCUCCAUAAAUCUAUUUCUAGAGACAGGCAAAAAUGACCGUCUCAGAAAAUAAAAAAAUGCCCGCCCUCCGUUAAUCAUAGACAUUAACCAAGACAGUUGAAUUUUGUGACCGCCUCUAUUAAUAAAAAUGCACAUCUUGUAAAAUAGUAGUGUUUUUUCCUCAAGGACACAUGUUCUUACCUUCACACAUCUAUUAGAUUCGCAGUAAAAAAUAUGCAAACAUACAUCUUAAUUCAACUUUGUAUUGAAAUAUGUAUAAUACAUAUCUCAAUGUGAAUUCAAUAGAUGAUGACAAGGUGAAGCAUGUGUCCUCACGGGAAAAAAAAUUACCAUACUUCGAUUUAUUCUUAAUGACUGGUCGGUAUCACACGAGCGACAAAAUGGCACACCCUCAUAUCUGGCCUCAGCUUUUUUGAUUCGUUUGACUUUGACUAGUUGGUGUGGCGGCAAAGCAAGCGACACGUCGCCCCUCUUCACGCUUAUAAAAAAACGGAGAACCAGUUGAAGCCAUACUUAGCUUGUUCUUGGGAUCGAGCAGGAUAUCGAUCAGGAUCGGACAGCUUUGCUAGGUUAUUAGCAAGCAAGCCUUGCACACUAGGUGUUGAUUGGGACACCAAUCGAUAUACUCUAUGGCUUUGCAAGGCCUUGUGGACUGGAGGGGACACCCGGUUAACCAGAAAAAGCAAGGUGGAGUGAGAGCCAGUGUCUUCAUCCACUGUAAGUAUAUAACAACAUACAUGCUCCUAAUACUUAAUUUAGUAAAUGUUGAGAGGUCCACUUUUGAAACUAAAAUCUAGCUACUUAUAUAUGUAUAUAUAUGUUGCUGACACAUAGGGUAUGUUCCACUGUGUUUACAGUCCUCAUUGUGAUGUCGAAUAUGGCAAAUAUACCAAUGAUUAUGAACCUAGUGACCUACUUGCAUGGGACGAUGCACAUGGACGUGAAGGACGCAUCCACCACCUCCACAAACUUCUUCGGCGCCAUCUGUUUCUUUUGCUUCCUGGGUGCCUUCAUCUCCGACUCCUACAUCAAGCGCUUCUACACCAUGCUCAUCUUUGCCCCAAUCGAGAUCUUGGUAACUACUAGUACUACACAGCAUACCAUAUGCAUGCAUCACAGAAUUGAAGUACUGCAUCUAUUUUAAACUUUUCGCAAAUAUCCAUUUCAUUAAAAACAUACAUGAGUUUGAUUUUGGACAAAGCUACUUUUCCUCAAAACUUCUAAAACUAUGAAAAAUUAAUAGCAUCUUGCCAUAGAUAUAUUGAUUGAAAACAUAGAUAAUUAUUGUCCUUUUUGCUUUGCAUGCCAUGGGCAGGGGUACAUGCUCCUAGCAUACCAAGCACACGUCCCGUCGCUCCACCCGCCGCCGUGCGACAUGAUCAACAACCCCAGCGAUUGCACUCCGGUGAGCGGUCGCAACCUGAGCCUGCUCACGCUGGGCCUAUAUCUGAUCCCUCUCGGCGAGAGCUCGCUGCGCACGUGCGCGGCGGCGCUGGGCGGCGACCAGUUCGACGAGGACACCCCGUCGGAGCUUCCCGGCAAGAUCAGCUUCUUCAACUGGUUCGAGAUCAGCAUAUCGCUGGGAGCGAUGGUUGGGGUCGUCUUCUUGGUGUGGGUGCAGGACAACGUCGGAUGGGACCUCGGCUUCGCGCUCGCUGCUCUCAUGGUGCUCGCCGGCACGCUCGGCGUCGCCGUCGGCCUGCCGUUCUACCGGCACCAGAAGCCUGCCGGCAGCCCCAUCACCAGAAUCCUUCAGGUACGUAUAGUACAUACGUACGUUCAGCCGUCUGCCGUCUUCCAGUCGUGUGGAAAAAAAAUCUUGAUGAGAUUUUGUCCUGGCCUGCAGGUUUUUGUGGCGGCGUUUAGGAAGAGGAAGCUACGGGUGCCUGAGAAUCUGAUGGAGAUGCAUAACAAGGUCACUGACGGCACUGGCACGAGCGUUGAAUUUGUGGACAGAGCUACUGGUGGCUUCAUGUAAGGAGGGCUUUUCUUGUCUGAUUCUUUCAAUCUCAACGUCGUGCAAAAAUGAAGGAAAGCAACAAAAUUAUAUAUAAGGACAAGAAUCAAAGUGGCAAGAGUUCAGUAAAUUUGGGGCACUUGUCAGUUGUCACUGUCAAAAUUGUUUUUUCUUUCUUUCAUGGACACUGCCUAGAACGUCGGCCAUACAAUGUCCUAGAACGUCGAAUCCGUUCGCUUGUCUUAUUGUAAGUCAACAGUGUUUUUUUUUUUCAAUACACCAGCGAACAGUUUAGCCAUUACUAAUCAGAUGUGACAUAUCUUAGCAUCACUAAAGGGCUGUUUGGAUUCGCUAGUGGUAAUAGUUAGCAACUAAAAUUAGUAAGGUCAGCCUCAAUGCAUAUUUCAUAAGAGUGUCAUGCAUAUUAAAUAGGGUGUCAUAUAAGAAAAGUUGCUGAUUUGACAGGGUCAUUAAAUAAAGGAGUUUCAUCAGAUGAGAGAGAAGUUUCAUCCCUAUGAAACUCAUAUGGUUCGAUUACUUAGUUUAUAAUCUUGGUAACUAUGUCAUGAAACUAUGUAUCGAGACUGGGUGGAUCUAAACAAUCUUUACUUUACUAAUAAUUAGCUUGGGCUCCAAAUUUAUCCAUUAAGUUUUAUCCUUGUCUCUUUUAGAAUAAUUAUCCCCGUUUGGAUGAGAGAAAAACUAUACUGUUCGCUGAUUUAUUGUAUGUACUUAGGGCACUCCCAAUGCUAGAAACUACAUAGAGUUUCUAUACCUAUUAAUUUUUAUAGACACUAUAUAUAGAAACUAUGGUCCCAAUGGAUAGUUUGUAUAAAAUAUUUUUUUAUCCAAUCACAUUCAUUCUCUCUCCAUUCUCAGCCAAUCAUUUCACUUCAUGUCUUAGAUUUUGUGUAGCCAUGUUUUCUAACUUAGACUCAGUUUCUUUGAUUUUUGUUCUCUCUUCAAUAACUACCUUGCCACAUCAGCAAAAUACUUAGGUGGUAUUACAAUUAAUGUCUAUAAAAAUCUUGAUAGUUUCUGCAUUAGGAGUGCCCUUAUACUGUUAGUGACUACGGCGGCAACCUCCUUUGAAACUAGUAAGGCCAGUCUCAAUGGAGGUUUCGUUAGAGUUUUAUGCAUAUUAAAUAUGCUGAUGUGGCGCUAUAUUAAUGAAGAGAGAUAUGAUAAGAAUUUCAUGGAAGUAGAGAGAGUUUCAUCCCCACGAAACUCCUAUGUACUAUUUUCAAAAUAUGGAUAUGUUGAAAACUGUGUCAUGAAACUCUCAUUGAGAAUGACCUAAUGCGAAAGGGUGCUUUCUCAAUUCACAUUUGUGGAUGAAAUGCUCUUUUUUACUUUUCAAACAAAAACAGUUCACUUGUAUACUACUUACAUUUUUGGAGCAACGAAUGAUGUAAUUUCAACCGUACCAAGCUUUGGGUGUUUUAUUGUCCGCUUGUUGUGUUUAUUUAUGAAUCAUUUUCUGAAGGCCCCUUGUAAGAGCUGCCGUGACUUUGACCUUUUUUUUUCGGUCCAAGGUUCCUUGACAAGGCGGCGGUGAACGACGGCGACACGCGGGCGUGGUCGCUGUGCACGGUGGCGCAGGUGGAGGAGGCCAAGACCAUCCUUCGCAUGAUUCCCAUCUUCCUCGCCUCCAUCCUCGCCUACAUCCCGUUCUCGCUGCUGCUCUCGCUCACCGUGGAGCAGGCAGGGACCAUGGACACCCGGCUCGGCGGCAUCGCCGUCCCGCCGGCGAGCCUCACCGUCAUCCCCGUGACGGUCCAGGUCCUCAUCCUUCUGGUCUACGACCGCGCCGUCGUGCCGUGGCUGCGGCGCGCGACGGGGUACGCCGGCGGCGUCACGCACCUGCAGCGCGCGGGGGUCGGGUUCGCCUCCAGCGUCCUGGCCAUCGCCACGGCCGCCGUGGUCGAGGACCAACGCCGCCGACGCAGGAGGAGCGGCGGGCCGCCCGUGUCGGCGUUCUGGCUGGCGCCGCAGUUCGUCCUCCUCUGCGUCCUGGACGUCACCUCCUUCGUCGGCCUGCUCGAGUUCUUCUACAGCGAGGUGUCCACCGGCAUGAAGUCCAUCGGCGGCUCCGUCGUCUUCUGCAUCCUCGGCGUCGCGUCGUGGCUCGGCAGCUUGCUUAUCCAGGUGGUCAACGACGUCACCGCUCGCCGUGCUGGCCAUGGGUGGCUCGGCGGCGCCAACCUCGACGCCAGCCGCCUCGAUCUCUUCUACUGGCUGCUCGCCGUGCUGGGGCUCGUCUCGUUCGGUCUCUACGUGCUCUGCGCGUGGAGCUACACCUAUAGGCAUGAUCCCAGAAUGCAAGCCACCACUACAAUGGAUAGUUCUGAAGUGGCUGAUGAUCAACACACCUGCUGAUCAGUAUCGAGUUGAAUCACAGGAAGUACCAAAGUAUAUCGACACGUGUGGACCGUACCGUCUUCGGUACCACACUUAAAAUCUUACUGUAACCCGAAGCCCCGAACACAAGGGCUAGCUGUUUCAACAUUUCGAAGCAAGAAGGCAAGUUGAAGCCAACCACUAGUUUAAAUUAUCACCGCCGUACGUGCACCUGGAAUACUUCCUCGUCCAAAAAAGAAUGAAAAGAAUGACAUUAUGGUAUACAUGUCAAGUUUGACAGCAUAUGUAGAAAAUACUAGCAACGCAUCUCCAAAAAAAAUAUUAUAAAAAAUAUAACACUAUAAAUAUAAAUAUUCUUUUAUAUAUUCAGUCAAAGUUGUAAAUGUUUUACUUUAAAGCUAAUAAUAAGCAUUCAAAAAUUGCUCCAAGUUAUAAAGUAUUAUUGGUGAAAUAACUUCCCUGAAGUCUCAAUCAUAUGCGCACUUACCCAUAGAUUCAAAAUAUAGUAAGCACAGUCUCCAUAGUUAAAGAAGUGUUACAUGCGAGCCUGUUCGUUGGUGUGAAAAGUUAAGGCUAAAAAUACUAUUCGCUGAUUUAUUGUGAGAGAAAAACACUGAUAAGACAAGCGAACGGAGCCACUAGUAGUCCUAGAAUUUUUAGGGUUCCUUAGAUUUUAGGAUGGAGGGUGUACAAUAUAUAGAACCUUCCGCGAUGUGCAAGUAACACUUGAAACUUUUUUUACCCCACGUGAAAUAAAAUAAGGUCAGUGGUCUCCUCCAUCAUACCUAUUCUCUCUUGGCCAAAAAAGAAACAAAACUACUUUUUUAUUGAUAAGGCACCAAUACAUGUUCUUGUCUCCCUCUCAGAUUUCUAGGCAUCACUACAAAUGAGCAUUACUCUGUGUCAAGUGAUGUUGUUAUUCUCUCUCCUCUUUGGAUAUCACUUUGGUAGCAAUAUGUGGAGGUCCUAAGCUAAAAAUGUAUGAGAAGGCACAUGGGCAGUUGCACCUCUAUAGCGGAGAUGACAUGUGGAUAUUUUGAUGAUUGUAUUUAAUUUUUUUAUGUUGUACAUUAAUGUAAUGAGUUACUGAGAUCUGGACGUUCCAUAUAGACCCAGUUCUUAGAACAACCACAUACAAUGUACUUCAAAAGUAGUUUAUAGGGACUAAAUUGUUCCAUAUGAACUACCUGGAAUAUUGUGGAACUAGCCAUAGAGUAGUUUAUAACAAAAGAUAGUCGUAAGGCUAUAGACCACCCAUAAGCAAUGAAAAAACAUUGCCCUCUUUCCAUCUCCCUUUCUUGAUUCCUGCCAUCUAUAGACUAUUUGAACCUUUCACAUAGAAUAGUUAUAGACCACAGGCAAGGGACCCACCUAUAUGGACUACUUGGUCCAAAUACAUUGUAGUUGCUUUAAGCACGUAGUGUUUAAUAGCCUAGAUCCAACUCUUGCAAUGCAUUUUUAUUCGAAUUAGAUACCUACAUAUGGCCCAUGUACCUCUCCACAAAGCUUUGAAUUUACCUAUUAUUCAUAUGCUCGAGCUUCGAAGUAGUGUUCGUCUCAAUGACACAUGUAAGAUUGGCCUCCACUUGCUUACUUGCUCUUACAUUUUAAACCAUAAUAUGUUUUUCUUAGAUGUAUAUAUAACUUUACUAUUCUUGUUACAAAAGGUCUUUGUGCAAAAACACUUUGGUAAAUCCAAAUUCAUGAUCUCUUGCUUAUUACUUAAGGGUAAGUCCUAGAGGCAGAGCUAGGGGCUAGCAGGGGCCGUGCCCCCCUCCCCCAAAAAAAACUAGAGAAAAAAUUAAUAACCUUAUUAAUAAUACAACACAAAGCAUAUUUAGCCCAUUUUAACUCAUAUUUUAUCAUAAUGUUGUGAUUUUUUGCUACGAACACUAACUACAUAUUUAGAAGCAUAAAUAUGCACACUUAUGUACAUAUUUAUCACACAUACAAUGUGUCAUUAUGUUUGCCACCCCCCCCCCCCCCCUAAUCAAAGUUGUCGGCUUCACCGGUAAGCACACUCAGUGUACUCAAGGUACCAUCACCUAAGGUUCUCUUCUAAGCUCUUAAUCCCUUAUUUGUAGACUGAGAUUACUAGAAGCCCUCCUAUGUGAGGUGUAUGUCAAGGUUACGGGAUAGGACCAAACUUAUGUUUUUUAAAGACGUCUAUUGUAGAGACUUGAUAGUUUUUAUUUGAGAUGUGAUAGACUAAAUGUUAAACACUGUGUCCUAGAUGAUGAAGGCUGAGUAGGUACGAUGCUACAAAUGGUAGUACAUGGGACAAUUGGAUGGGUCAGGUUAGGCUAGCACAGUCAAUGAAUGGCAACUUUGUGUAACGCCUGGUGUGGUCGGAGUGCAAUCUUGUUAGUGCAGGAAAAUCAUGUCCACAUAAUUUGUUUUAGAUUUUCUUUGUUGUGAUAUAGCAACAUGGCCAUAUCAUCAUUGAUAGCAAGUGUUGCAACAACCUUGCAAGCUCUAUCCAAUGGAUAAAUACUUGUGAUAAGAUAAAGGUAAAUACAAUUGCAUUCAUUUUUUGAUUAAUACUUAUAAAUGUAGUGCAGACAUUAACAUAAUACAUAUGCAAGCAUGUUCUUUGUUACAAAGAUAAACCUUGGAUUUAUACAAAUAACGUUUUGCAUAAUACUGUUGCUAACAAAUACAUGUUCAAAUACAAUGGUAGCCAAAUUACUCUUUUACCUACGAGUACUCUUGUAAUUUUACAAGUUGAUCUUAUAUGGGCAAAGAAUAAAGAACUAAGCCUCUAGAACAAAAGGGGGUAAAUUCAGAUGUUGUAAUACCUUCCUCUAAACUUGAUUUGUUAUAGAGUGAGUCUAUUACUUUGCCUCUUGUUGCAACUAUUAUCUUGCAGAUUGUACAAGACAAAGUCCAUAGAGGUCAAUCAGAAGAGAAUGCACAUCACAUUGUCUCAAGUGAGAGUUAUCCUCAUAUCUAGAAUUUAUUUACCAAUCAUGUGAUCAAAGAGCAACAUUUAGUAGAAACUUUCAUUGACUUACCUUUACCACAUGUUGAUUUGGUCGUUAUUCGAGGUCAUAAGCAAGUGUUGUGCGUUGAUGCUUAUGUUAAUCUUGUACCAUAAAUAAUGACGAAAAAUGAUUCUUUUGUUUUGGAACCAAAUGCUUGUGAUGAAAUAAUUUUUUUUCAUCCCAAUGCUACUAGAAAAAUUUAAAGAACAAGAGUGCAAGUUCUUAUUAAUAGAUCAAUUGGACUUUUUAUAGCAAGAGUACAAGUUCCUGUUAAAUGUUUUAUAGUAGGAUGAACAUUGUGCACAUGGUGUGACAAGAUGAACUUUGUCAAAAACAUGACGUUUUUCCACUGCAACUUGCAAAUGUGACCAACAUUGUAGUGGAAAACUAGGAACUACAUUUGUGCAACAUGAUGCAAUAUAUUUGUUACAAUUUCCAUGGUUUUUUCAUCAACACAUGAAGGACAAAUUUCUAUUAAUAGCUUUUUAUAGUCAGAUGGACAAACAUUACACACAUGAUGUGCAAGAUGAACAUCAAGAUUAUAUUGUCUACCACCUGAAGUCAGUUAUACUAUAUAGAAGCAAAUCAUAUCAGAUGAAAAGAAGAAAGGUUGCGGUUGCAGAUGUGAUAAGAAUUGAAAUUAAAAAGCAAAGUAAUUGCAGAGAAAAUAAAAACUAAUUGCACAGUUUGGUCGGAAUUGAAGAGAUAAGUCUUUUGAGUCUAGUUAGUACAUGUUUGGAUAAUAUUUGUCAAAUACAAACAAAAGUGGUACUAUUCCUAUUUUGCAAAAUUUUUUGGAACUAAACAAGGCCUUAGUCUAUUAAGGCAUAAAUUAUCAACAUACACGCUGCAACUGUAACUGAACAAUGGGUUGCACAGAAGCAUAACAGAACAUAGCUCCACGACCCAAUAGUAAACAUUGCAAGCAAUACAAAUCCAAUCAACUAUGGUCACUGUAAUCCUGAACAUUAGUACCUAUACCCAAACCAAUAAUAAAUACAACAAUUUAAGACCAUAUGUACAAACAUUUCUUAGGAGACCACAAACAAGAUGAAAUAUUUUUUGUCUAAUACUAAGCAACAACAUGUGAUAAAGAAACUUCUAGAUAGAAUGUUCCCUGGAUGGGGAAGACUAAAGACUAAAGAGAGAAGGAAAUUGUAACAAGUCUUCAACUCAUCGGGGUAAACUGACAUAUGCCAUGAUGAAUACAACUCUCAAUUCCUUGAAAUUUAUUUAGCUUCCUAUCACAAUUCAAUGUAGCAAUGAGUGUUAGUAACAUGAGACAUCACUGCAUUAUACACACAUACGUUGGCUGCAUUAUACACACAUACAUAGACUCACUGUGCUGAUGCAUUAUAACAUCGAAAUAGUAGUCUAAAAAAUCACUCAGUGUAUCUGAUAUAAACACGGAAUACAACUAAAUGUAAGUGUUAUUUUCAUUCAAUUAGACCUACCAACACCAUAACAGGUAUAACACUACUCCAUAUUUAGUUUUGGAUUUUACUUGACUGCUAUUAGGAAAUAGUUGUUGGUACUGCAGACAUAUUUCCAUAUAGUACAGAUUAAUUUCCAUGAACAAUUGGACAAAUCAAAUGUGUAGCAGAAAUAUCAAAUAUCCCUUAAUCCCUUAAAAGGAAUAAACGCAACUCCUCAUUAACAAAUUUCAGAAGUGAAGCAAUUGCACUUUAAUCUAUAUUAUUAUAAUGCAUACCACUUCCACUGUUGCAAAUUUGCAAAAAUACACUUCUUCUAAAAAAAUAUGUUUACAUAAAGUUAAACUAUCAAAUUGUGAUCUAGUAUCAAACUCACAUACCUCUUCUAGCUGUUGAAAGCUCCAAAUUUGUUUUAUUCCUUUCAAGGAUUAAAGAAGGCAUCUUGCAAGCAGACAAUUGUUCUAAGUUGCACAGCUUUCUCUACAGUUUUUUCUGCACUAUAACUUAAGGAACAUUAUUUCUUGUUUUUACGAUUUGGUGCACCUUGACACCUGUUAUUUACAACGGAACAUCUCCAUCUCUGCAGGGCCAUCAUGUAUCAAGAGAUCGUUGGUUAAUCCAAACAAAUCAUUUCAAUAACAGAUCAGAAGGUGCAGUCUUUCUCUUUCCACCAUUCAUUGAAAGCUUUCUUUUCAUCUGAAUUUCCCGGACUGUUUCAGAAAUCAAGAGACUCAGUUUUGGAACACUCUUAGUAGUCAACGGCAGGUCAAUUCCAGCAUUUCGCAAAGCUUCUAUGAUAAGUUUCUUAGAUUUUGGGUCAUGGUCAGCACAUCGCAAUGGAGCAAUGCCUCUCAGAACAUGUUUUCCACAGGUUGCUCCCCCAUUUGGCAAACCACUGCAUGAAAUCAUAAGAGUAAACAGUUGAGACAUGAAUGAUGCUUGCUAUGUACAAAAUGAACAGAGAAAAUAACUAAAAGGUAAAGUUAGCACUACACAAAAUCUAUGUUUCGUUUCAUACACUGCCAUGAUGAAUGUUCCACACAUGCCCAUGCAUAUGUGCAAGACCCAAGAAAGAAGUAUUGAUUACUAAAUAUAGUUCCUCAGUAAAAAAAGAAAAAAUGAAAGAGUAUAGUAUACAGAUGGAACUAGGGAAUACUACUUAACAGAAACAAAGAAACCCACCAAUGCAAUAAGUGAGCACCAAAAUUAACUACAACCAACAAUAUUUAAAGCUGAAAUUCAGAUAUAUAGAAACAAUUAAUUCUGGAUUUGCUAUACUCCUAGUCUCCUACCUAAUCCCAGUAAGAUACAACAUUAAUUACCAUUCUCUUAUGUAAAAAAUUUAAUAUGCAAGUAUAAUGAUGAUAAAAUUUAAGAGGUCUUUAACAUAAAGAUAACAGAUAAUGAUGGCAUAAAAAUACUAUUCUCCUACGUUUUUCCAGAAACAAAUGUAACCAGGGCAUCAAUGCAGUAAGCCAAAGUGUUUCAUUUGACUUUGUAUUAGUAGGAAUGUAAAACCAGACUUAAUUAACAGUUUGACAGAAAAAAUGGGAACCAACGUUAGAGAAUGUCCAUUUCCUUGCUGGGUCAUUUUGAGAAUAAAAUCAGUCUUCUUAAUAUAAUAAUAUGCAAAUCUCCUGUGUGUUUCAGGGAAAAAAAACAAAACGAGUAAAAAAUGUGUUGGUGUUGACAAAAAGGUCACACACAGACUGAAUGUUCAAUGCUCCAACUCCGGAUUCAACUUUGUCAGCUAAUUGUAAGACUGUCUCAGUUAAGUCCGAUCUUUUACGAUUGCUGAUAGUUAUCCUUCAAUUCUUAUCAAAACCUGCACGGCUGCAUCGGUUAGGUCUGACCUUGUAUGGAUUUUGACACGAAUCCCCCAUAAGACCCUCACAACCAGCCAAAUUGUGGAAGCAUGUGGAGUUUCCAUUCAGACAUGAUACUCUAUACUAGGCAAAUAUAUCAUGCCAUAUUGAAACAGACCAAAAAAUACUAAGAACAUUUGAAGUGACACUGGCACGACAUGAGCAUGACAAUGCAGCCUGAGCGUUCAAGGGUUUAUAAAGAUGUCAUGCCAGUCAAGAAUGCUGUGAAUAAUCGCAUAAAUGCAGUAGCGUAGUAUGCCCACAUGUAAAUUUGGAGCCAAGCAAAAAGAUAGAAGUAAGCUUAGUCAACUGUUUCGCCUGGAUCCUCAUCCAAAACAAAAUCUCGCCGGCUAACAACCUACAGCUAAGAAACUGGCCACACCAGGAUCAUUGCGUCAUGUGCAACGGGCCACUGGAGUCAGGUCUCCAUCUCAGCCUACUAUGCCCAGCCAAACAAUUUUGGGACAUUGUGCUAACCUGGGAACACUUUGAUGUCAAUCUAAUUAGGUCAUAGACCCAGCCAACUGAAAUCAACUCUUGGUGGGUGGAAGCAGCUGCAAAAAUCCCAAGACAAAGGCAGCGACACUUCAAUGGGGUGGUUAUAUACAUAAUUUGGAACAUAUGGAAAGAAAGAAGUAGAGGAUCUUUGAUAACAGUUCUUUGAAUGCAAACCAGGUGGCUCACAGGACAAAGGAGGACAUUGGCUGGGAUCAAGGGCGCUAAACAAUUUCGCUUAGUUGAGAGUGUCAUGUUGGAAUGUGUGCCCUUGGGAACCUAGGCUUACAGGCAUGUUGUAUAUAAACUUUCUUUUCCAUCUUAAUUGAGAGGCAGAGCUCCUGCCAAUUUUUCAAAAAAAACCUUAGUUGCAGUGCAGCUCAAGGUAUGCAUUGGUCAAGCUCAGCCAUGCUAGCUUAACUUGCAAGGGUACCAUAAUUUUCUUCAUGGGUAGGAAUCAAGUGAGCAUUACUGGAAAAGAAAUUGGGCCACAUACAAUGUUAUAUGUGCAAAUAAUUUUGUUUGCAUGGCCCGUUGAUAGUUAUUAAGCUCAUAAGGCAAGGUGUGCAACCCAACCCCUUUCACAUAAUCGUACCACCUAGACACUUAUGGCAUAGACCUAGGUGAUCUGUCAUGGGCAUAAUGAGGGGCGCUGUAGGGUGCAAGUGUCCUAGUUGGGCCUUAAGCCCAUUAGUGUUAAUUAGUGUCUCUCUUAGUUAUUUGUCUAUAGGAAUAGUACCAUAUUGUCUAGGCACAAGAGGUGUUAGUCCUAUGUACCUUUUAUAUUCAGCCCAUGGGGCACAAUGGAAAGCAAGCAAGGAAUUAUGAAGAAACAAUUCUAGUCUCCCUCAAUCUCUCAAGCUCUUGGCAAAGCAUAAGGCCUAGUUAUCCCAAAGCUCUUGGCAAAGCAUAAGGCCUAGUUAUCUAUCCCAAAUACACCUCGUCCUUAACAUCUGGUAUCUAGAGUCCAGCGAUCCUCUUCAUCCAAAAAAAAACAUCGAUUCAGAUCCCGAUCCCCACCACCAUCCGCCGCCGCCGCCACCGCCACAACUCCAACACCGGCAGCCGCCACCACAACCAACAGGCCGCCGUCCGCCUCCCCCUGCACCAACAACCUCGAAGCUUCCCUGGCGACCAUCACAGCCGCCAUGAGGGCCAACGCCGCCGCCAUCAAGGCCCUGUCCGCUGAGUGCUCGGCGUCCAGCAACAACUCGGCUGCCGGGAAACACCACAACAAUCGUCCGCCGCGGUUCCAGAAGUUGGGUUUUCCGCGUUACGACGGUAAUUCCGACCCCCUCAUCUUCAUCAACAGCUGCGACACAUACUUUCGUCGAGAGCACAUCAUGGAGGAAGAAAAGGUAUGGAUGGCUUCCUGUCAUCUGGACGAUGGCGCUCGUACGUGGUUCCUCCAAGUCCAGGAGGAGGGCACCCCGACAUGGCGUCGCUUCACCGAGCUCCUGCAGCAGCGCUUCAAACCAACUCCGCGCCCCAAUCCGCUCCACCGGCUGUCCCUUGGUGUCGACAACUGCCUACGCAGCCUUGCGGAGAUGACCGCACACCUGGAUCGCCCCGGGUGCGUCUCGAGAAGGAGGACCGUGAACGCCGAGCAGCUGUACGCCUCCAGGCAGCAGCACGGGGACUCCUGGCACGUCGCCGAGCGCAGGCUCUUUGUGCCACAAAAGCAUCGAAGGAGCAAGCAACGGUGCACCUCCAGGCAGCAGUGCGAGGAAUGCUUGUCCGUCGCAUGGUGCGGCAGAUACGCAUGCUCCUCAGCUCGACGUUGUCGUACGUGUUCAUCCACUCGGACUCGCCGAUACGGCCUGCGGCUCCAAUUGCAGUGGGGGUCCAAGUAUGGGUGUUUCCAGUGCAGCGACCUCGCAUCAGCAUCCAGCAUCAGGCAUCAAAGGCUAUCUCAUUCAGCCUUGUGCCUGCCGUGGUGCUAGACACUUUCAGCAUAAGAGCCAGCUGCUUCACACUCCACCCUUUAGCCUACAUGAAGCCAGCAGAGGCGCUCUUUCCAUGGGAUCCAGGUGGAUAUCCUUAUAUUUUAGUCUUCAAUAUAAAGGGGAAGCCGAGAUGUAAAAGGCUUAACCCUAUUUCGCUUCAGCUCUCCAGCUCGAGGACGAGCUGGGUCUCCAAGAGCGGGGGAGAUGUCAUGGGCAUAAUGAGGGGCGCUGUAGGGCGCAAGUGUCCUAGUUGGGCCUUAAGCCCAUUAGUGUUAAUUAGUGUCUCUCUUAGUUAUUUGUCUAUAGGAAUAGUACCAUAUUGUCUAGGCACAAGAGGUGUUAGUCCUAUGUACCUUUUAUAUUCAGCCCAUGGGGCACAAUGGAAAGCAAGCAAGGAAUUAUGAAGAAACAAUUCUAGUCUCCCUCAAUCUCUCAAGCUCUUGGCAAAGCAUAAGGCCUAGUUAUCCCAAAGCUCUUGGCAAAGCAUAAGGCCUAGUUAUCUAUCCCAAAUACACCUCAUCCUUAACAUGAUCUCACAUGUACAAUCAUGAAUGCCCAAGAGUAAGUCCGUCUCAACUCAACACGUGACACCUGACAGGAUACCAAGACUAUCCAUUUAUUGUGCGAAAGGUAGUCUUAGGAUUUCCAACCAUUGCCACUUCACUUCAUCCUAUCACUUCAUGUGCCACCCAAUCAUCCCUUUCAGCAUUUCCUAUCUUCCAUUCCCCUUUGCUGCCUCCAUUUUUCCACAUUGUUGCAGCCUCCUUACUGAAGUCAACAAGAAAAGCAAGGGUGGCAUAACAAGAGACAGUGGGUGAUGCCGAAUCAAUCCCCUGAAGGAUGAGAAAAUAGGAAUAAUUGAACCGAAGAAUAGUGGGAGACAACAAAAAUGAGCUGUAGAAAGUCAAGAGAAGGCAGGAUAUGGCUGAAUCUUCUCUCAGAGGGGUGAGUGACAGCAGAAUCAAGACAGAGAAGGUACACAUGAAAUGGGCAGGAUGAGGCCCCUGUGGCAACCUACAUAUUGGUUGACAAUACAUUAAAAACAAUGGCAAGGUUAAUAAGAAGACAUCAAUUGUAGGUGCAGAGCUUGAUUAAGCGGAAGAGCACACAAAAGGAGUUGCCAGCAGUCCGCAAAAUUUCUAAAAGUUCAGUUAACAAUGCCAGCUAGUCAAACUAGCUUGUGUAUUCCAAAACAUAUUUCUUUGGUGGUGAGAGAAGUUAAGGUGAUAAAUGGAUCCACUGAGAGAGAAGAUAUGGCACAUUCACUUGGGUUAAGCAACACAUGAAGAGAAUUUAAUGCAAUGCAGUAACAAAGUCCUGAGAAGACCAGAAAGCUAAACUCUGAAACAUUCAGCAUAGUAUCCAUGACGAUGAAAAUCAUAUCUACCUAGCAGUUGAGCCCCACCCUCUUUUUUUCAAAGGUUAGAUGGAAUAACUUGCUGAACAUGGAAAGGUAUCGGCACAUGCCAAAGCAAUUGUGGAGUGAGGAUAUUAAUUGAAAUUCACAUGCAAUUAAUUCAGGAUAUGAUUGCGUAAUCUGAUAAGUUAAAAUAAAGGUAUUGAUAGGAUAUAGAUAAGAGAAAUGAAGAAUGCAGCAGCUAUAUAGUUAAGUUCAAGGAUUCAGCAGCUAUAGAGUUUCCAAAAAUGCCUUUACCUAUCCAAAGCCACAAGGCAGCUACAAACCAGCCUCGGGUUCUGUUGCAUUUGGCAGUUGCUAGUUCCCAUUUAUCAUCACGUGCAUCCACUAGUAUUUAAAUUUCACCAAAAUACCAUAUAAGUACUGUAGCUAAUAACAUUAGUCCACACACUAGUGUAACAAACUUUCAAAAGGGAAACAAGGAAUACAUGAGAACCCAGGUAUUCCGAACAGAAUCGUGAGCCUUCACCAAAUAAUCGAACUAUAUAUGUCUGUAGACUCAGUCUUCUGUUAAUCAUGUGCUAGAAAAUAAAGUUCAGUAACACAAACACCAAAUCCAUGUGCUUGAACAGGUUUUCUACAUAAAAAAUAGUAGUAAAAAAGUCUACAAAUUCCACCUAUGAUAAAAUGAAGUCACUAGCAACCGUGGACUAGUGCACAAAGUCCGUCAACCAGAAUUAUACACAAAUAUUGCGAAAUUAUACCACCCAAGCACAUCUUGGACUAGUGCACCCAUGAAGCAUACCUUUUCCUAGUGGGGAAGGCGCAGGGCUGAUAGAGCUGCUGCUUGGGGUCCAAGAGGAUGUGAUUGAAGCAGUAAAGGGACAGGGGCACCGCCUUGGCCUCGCAAUUCGAGGCCGCACAGCCCGCCCUCCCGCCCGCAGCCGACACAGGAGGAGGGGCAACGGCACAAUUCUCCAGCGGGCCAACGACGACUCCAUUCUCUGGCGGUCCAGCACUGACUCCAUUCUCUUUCGGCGGCAGCAGCGGCGUGGGCUCGUCAUCGAGCGCGGGGCUGGCGCCGUGCUCCCACCAGUACUCGCCGUGCCUUGCGGGGAGCUCAUCGGCGAGCAUCCAGUACUGGGCGCGGUAGAGGGAGCAGAGCUGCACCAGGCGACGGCGGCGCCGAUAGAGGACCUCCUCGCGGGACAGCGCUGCCGAGAGACUGAGCUCCGCAUCGCGCGCCGCGCCGACGACCUCCACCGGCAGGCGCGGCGGCGGCAGCGGCGGGUGGGGGUCGUCCAUGGAAAUGGAAUGGACCAGGUCACCAGGGGUAUCCCACGGCUAGGGUUUCGGGGUUUAAGGAGGCGGCGCGGGCGGGGAACCAGAAGCGGCAGGUUUGCCGCCGCGCCGCGGGGCGAGGCGCGGAGCUGAACGGUGGAGUGGAAUCACAUCAGAACGGACCCGUCUCAGAGCAAAGAGCAAAAUCCACCGCCGGUCCUUGAACUUGGUUGGCGGUGUUAUCUAGGUCCCUAAACUUCUAAAGUGAUAUCUAUGAGUCCAUAAACUUGACAGACGGUGUCAUCUAGAUCUCUGAACUUUCAAAGUAAUCACCACAUGUCCCUAAACUUGGCAGGUGGUGUCAUUCCAGUCCCUGAACUUUCAAAAUGAUGACUGCAGGUCCCUAAACUUGGCAAGCGGUAUCAUUCUUGUCCAAAUAUGGUCCAACCUACUCUAUAAGUUGUUAUGUGUAAAUUAAUCAUGCAUUAUUUAUCUAAUAUUUAUCAUGAAAAUAUAAAUUAUAUAAAAUAAUUUAUAUCAACAAAAAAUAAAUUAAAGUGUUAAAAUAAUUUACACCAACAAAUAUAUUAGGUUUAAAUUGAAGUAUAAAAAUAGUAAAAUUAAUUAAAUAUUUAUAUAUCAUUGAUAGUAUUACAAAAUAAUAUUAAAAUUCCUAUAUAUAGUAUUAAAAGUUUUCUCUAUUAAAAGUUACUUCUAAUUUUAGUAUUAUUUUUAAAAUUUUAAUAGUUUUAUUAUAAAAGUAACUUUUCUCUAUUAUUAAUAUUAUCACAUUAUUAUAAAAUAUUUUAAUACCAUAAUACUACUAUUAAAAGUUUUAAUACUAUAAUACUACUAUUAAAGGCUAACUUUUCUCUGUUAUUAAUACUAUCACAAUAUUAUUAAAUAUUUUAAUACCAUAAUACUACUAUUAAAGUUUUAAUACUAUAAUACUACUAUUAAAUGUUACUUCUAUAAUAACAUUAUUAAAAGUUUUAAAAUAAUACUAAUAUUAGAAGUAACUUUUAAUACUAUAGGAAUUUUAAUAUUAUUUUGUAAUACUAUCAAUGAUACACAAAUAUUUAAUUAAUUUUACUAUUUUUAUACUUUAGUUUAAAGCUAAUAUAUUUGUUAUUGUAAAUUAGUUUAAUACUUUAAUUUGUUUUUUAUUGAUGUAAAUUAUUUUAUAUAAUUUAUAUUUUCCUGAUAAAUAUGAGAUAAAUAAUGAUUGAUUAAUUGACAUGUUGGAUUCACAUUAGCUUAAAUAGAGUAGGUUAGACUAUGUUUGGAUAGGGAUGAUACCGCUUGCUAAGUUUAGAGACUUGUGGUGAUCACUUUGAAAGUUCAAGGACUAGAAUGACAUUACUGGCCAAGUUUAGGAACAUGUGUUGAUUACCUUGAAAGUUUAGGGAUCUAAAUGACACAGUCUGCCAAGUUUACAGACUCACAAAUAUCACUUUAAAAGUUUAGGGAUCUAAAUGACACCGCCAGCCAAGUUGAAGGACCGGCGGUGGAUUUCACUCCAGAGCAAAUCCUGCCCUGACUGUCUUUUUUUUUUCCUUGUUCAGCCCAUUUGCUGGGCAGCCCAAUGGUAUGAUGAUUGAUGAACCUUCCCAUUGCCUAUGGUCUUGUUUAGUUCCAAAAUAUUUUGCAAAAUCGACACUGUAACUUUUUCGUUUGUAUUUAACAAAUAUUAUCCAAUCAUAGACUAACUAGGUUCAAAAGAUUCGUCUCGUCAAUUUCGACUAAACUGUGCAAUUAGUUUUUAUUUUUGUCUAUAUUUAAUACUUAAUGCAUGUGUCUAAAGAUUCGAUGUGACGGGGAAUCUGAAAAAUUUUGCAAAAUUUUUUAGAACUAAACAAGGCCUAUGAUGCUUAUAGGGCCCUGCUUGUUUAAGCUCUCGGCCUUUUUUUUUGAUAUUGACAAAAAAAAUCUGAUAUAUCAUAAGUAAGGAAAAUAAAGGCUGAUACAAAAGAUAAAUAAAAAGACAUAAAAUGACCUAUAAAAAAUAAGAGUGCAUCAACGGUUGUCUUGGUUAUCCAUAGUUCGAUCUAGGUACUCAAUUUAUUUAUUCUGAUUUUGACCGGUGCAACUGCAACAAAGUCGCUGCUGCUGUAUGAUUUGUUCAUGGAAUCACUGCAUGUCCUACCUGCAGUGGGAUUUUGCAAAAUGGUACUCCGUUCAUUCCAAAUUAUAAGUCAUUUUAACAAUCUUGAAGAGUCAAAGCAUUUUCAAGUUUGACUAAAUUAUAGAGAUAAGUACUAAGAUUUGUAACAUAAAAUGGUUAUACUAUGAAAAUAUAAUUAAGGAAGAAUCUAAUAAUACUUAAUUUGCUUCAUAAUUGUUAUUAGGAAACAACUAACGCGCGGCCGGCCGUAAUAUGGAUCGUCCGCACGGCCUUGCCAUUUAUAGUAAAGUGCAGUUAUUAUAUUACUUUUUUUGGCAAGCAUGCUAAUCACGCUAGCUUGUGGGCGCAGAAAAAUUUUCCCGCCAAAUGUAACCAAAGACUCUUCACGGCUUGCAUAGCCCAGAGCCCCAGACCCAAAUAUUUACCACGGUUUAUCGGAGGAAAGCAAAUCAAGUCAAGACAUAAGAUUUUAGGGACUGCAUGUAUUAUACGUUCACAAAAGAGUAAUGUAUUCAGAAAAAAACACAUUUACAUCUGCAGUUUUCUAGAGCAAAACACUAUACAUCUAGUCCCUAGGAAAACACACAUUUCCGCAUCUUUUCCACAUGAACUUCAUCUUUUUUCUCUGUACAUGGCCUGCAUGUUAAAAAAAUGGAUAACAUGUGUUAUAAAUUUGUUGCUGGAUGGAGAUAAAAAAGGAUGCAUAUGUUAAGAAAAUGAAAACCUUAUAUUGCCUAUUUGAGAAGACAUUAUUGUUCCUGAAGCUCAGGUUGCUGUUGGUAAUGUUGUACUAGUAGAUUGUAUUUUCUUAGGAAUUUAAGUGUUAUUUAUUAGGCAACAAUGUCUUCAUGAAUAGGCAAUUUAGCCUAUUUUUACUAGUAAAAAAGAAACAACAUUUGUCUAGUUUUGAAGCAUGAGUUUUGCGGCCGAGGAGCAAUAGGAAGAAGGUUGGCUACUGUGCAAGAUGCAGUGAUAAAUAUUUUCUAGACAAUUCAUUUGAGGCCAAAUGCAAAUCCAUAUACAAUUUUUUAACAGCAAAUUUUAUCUUGAGUGUUAACAGAAACGAAUCUGAGUGAACCACACUCGAAAAUAGGCAACACAACUACUAGAGAUGCAGCCCAGCAUAAUUCAAUCUUGGUCUUUAGUCUCUUUCAAUUUCUAAGACCAAAAAAAGUGAAAGAGCAAAAAGAGCGGAUGGAAGAGACGGAGAGUAUUACCUAGAGGUGAUCUCGUUGAUGGGCAACCGUAGUCGUAGCUUGCUUGAUGAAGAUUGACCUGCGUGUGCACUUAGCAACAAAGGAAUGCCUGCUGGGGCGCGGGUUGGUAAAUGUAUGGCCUCACCGGGUUUCACUUCAGCCCUGCAACCAUGGACGAGGCGUGGGGAAAUAAAGUCCAUCAAACUCAGAACUUGAUUAGUUCACCCUAAAAAUCUAAAACUUUUCAAGAUUCUCUGUCAUAUUGAAUCUUGCGGCACAUGCAUAGAGCAUUAAAUAUAAAUGAAAAUAAAAACUAAUUACACAGUUUGUCUGUAAAACGCGAGACGAAUCUUUUAAGCCUAGUUACUCCAUGAUUGGACAAUGUUUGUCAAAUAAAAACGAAAAUGCUACAGUAUUGUUUUUCCAAAAAAAUUUAGAACUAAACAAGGCCUCAAUCAGCUCACAAUCAUGGUGAAUCGAUUAAGCAGCAACAACUUGAAUCACCGCAUCGCGACUUGCUUAUGUUCCUGGAGCCUCUAUUGGUGAUGAGCAGGUUGCUGCUAGUAAUGCUUUAGUAGAUUGCAUUUUUAUAGGCAAUUUUAGUGCCAUUCAUUAGGCAACAAUGUCUUUCUAAUUUUACAAUUUUGGUAUUCUAAAAAAACAAGUGCAGUGUCUGUGUUCAUUUGCAACCCACAACCCCACCCCUAACCCCUGGUUUAUUUUCAAAAAAAAAACAUAUCAAGCAGAGGUAAGGUGAUGAUGUCAAAAAACAGAGGUGAUAUUUUCAAAGUAGGCUGCUAUGGUACAUACACAUAUUCUAGAGCGCAACUAGCAUUUUCAGCACCCAUACAACAUAAGGAUUUUUUAAAUGUUGCCGCACAAUCAUUAAUUGCAAGAAAACAUUACAAAACUCAGUCAUAAUUAUUUAACAAACUGAAACAUUAAGGUUGAAGCUAUUCUGAAUACAACAUGUCUGCCAAUCUGCAACAGACUUGCCCAUUUAGAAGCACAUUGUUGCAUAAUAAAUGGCACUUAAAUUGUCUAACAAAUGGCACAUGGAGCAGGGCGUAGAAAGGACGAAUGCUGGAGGGAUGAGGUAUGCUACCGUUGAAAAACAAGUGUAUGGAAGAUGGAGGGGGCACCGCCACCGGAGAGGCUGCACAACCAGAUUGGCUCCACAGAUUCUAGGAUACACCCUCAGCAAUCUGAAAUCUCAUGUAGAUUUUCUCAUCAGCAAAUUAAGUAUCAUUCAUUAAGCAAUAAUGUCUUCCUAAAAUAGGCGAUUUAUGUAUUCUGAAAAGGCAAGUAUAGUGUUUGUGUUCAUUUGCAACCCACAGCCCCACCCCCAGUUUAUUUGCAAAAAAUACACAGCUAUGUUUUUAACUUUUUAUGCAUCACAUCUAUUUAUGUAAUGUAAUAGGCAAAAAUACAGAUUAAGCAGAGGCAAGGUGACGAUGUCAAAAAAUAAGUUAUGUACAAAAGGCAGACUAGAUUAAUGACUCAACAGAAUAAUCAGCAUAACAAUAGAAAAAAAAAGAGAGAAUGAUCUAUCAGUAAUAAUAUGUCACCUGCAUUAGUCAGCACCUCCCAAUCUGCACAAGAAAAUGGAAUCUCAAUCUUCCCCUUGUCACCUACACAAGAAAAAGGGAAUCUCAGGCUUCCCCUUGUCACCCGGGCAUAAUUAAUGUCACAUAGAGAGCAGAGUAACGCUUGAAAAUUAAAGGAGACAUACGGUAAAAAGAGCUGGAUUACUAAUAACAUGCCUGGCUAAUGAUAUUAAAUUGCUUAACUAAAUUUACAUGCACAUUUUUGGGUGGUUCUCACCUGCUCGUCUACACUUUCAUAUAGCCUGCUGCACACUCUAAUUUUUCUGCAGCAGAAAGUUUCAUUUGUUAGGCAACAAUGUAUUCUUAAAUAGGCAAUUUAUGUAUUCUGAAAAAAACGUCCAAUGAAGUUUUGUUGUAAUUUUGAACUGAACAAGAAUUCAUAUGAUCAUCUGACCAACUAUAGCUUAUGAUUCUCACAUGAACAAGAAUAAGUAAUUUUCAGUGAUUAUUUAUCUUAGAUGCACAUUUACUCCAAUACGAAUUGCAGUCUAAGGAAAAUUAAACAUCCAAAAAUACAAAGAUACCAGUAACAAUUCUAAAAUUGAAAAUAGGCACAUAGACAAAAAGAAUAGAAUAUAUGUACAAUAUCAAGCGAAAUGAUUGAUAGCGAUCAGAUGCUAAGAAACAAGAUGCAUAAAUCAACCUGUUGUAAGGGUUACAACAUCACAUCGAAUUCAAUCCUGAACAUGACAAAUGCAGCAGAUGGGUCGAACUUGAGGUUGAUUGAAAUUUCUUAUAAAAACAGAACAAUUCUCUCCACUGCUAGCGAUCCACAAAAUCUAUGUGAAAACAGCAGCAGUAAUUUGCACUUUUCCAACUGAUGCGAUUUCGAUCACCUUCUAAACCUGAAAAUUCACCUACCAAACUGGCCUAAAAAAAUCCUCACGGCAUAGUAGCUACUGAUCUCCACAAUUAGUCGGGUGCCAAGAGUCUCACAUAUGGAGCACUACCACAUCACAUGAGACAACAUGGUGGGGAACAUAUCUAAUCGAAAGUGGGGGACGAGGGUGUCACCUACUAGACACAUGUGGGAGGGAACUAGAUGUCCACGGCGAGGAUUUUGACAUCCUUGCACUCCUCCAUCUCAGCGAUCGAGAGCCCACCUCCUCCGCUACCGCCGUGGCACCUUCGAUUGCGGCCGCGAGGUAGGCCGGCCACCACGGGCUGGAUGGUCCCGCGAGCAGAUCCAUGCCGCCCCAACCUCCUGGCCACCACUGCAAAUACGGCGCAGAUCUGAGGUAGAUAGCAAAUAUCUUACGUUAGGGUUAGAGAUCUCGGUUUCGCACAGCAGGAAGGGGAAGGAAAAGGCAAGGGCGGACGAACCUGGUGGGUGCUCGUCGCCGGCGAACGGCCAAGGGAUCGAUGAACACCUGGCGUAGGGUUGGGGCAACAGUCCCCAAUCUUCGACGGAUCCGCCAUGGCCGGCGCGGAUGGGGGCGGCAAGGAGCUCGGCGCGGGCAUGGAGAGGCGGUGGGGCGCAGGCGUGAGGAAGUCACCGGGGAGGAGCUCGCGGUCGCCGGUCACCAGGGGAGAGAGAGAGAGAGCAGAGAGACGCGGGGAAUGAAAUGUUGAGGACGAGCACCGUGCGUCCGGUGGGAUGCAAAAUACUGCGGGUGGGAUUGGAGCGUGCGUGGCUGCGUGCGACGGAACAAAGACACGGCCAGCCGGUAACAAGUCAUUACCUUGUUAUUAUCUUAUCAUAUAAAUUUGGUCAAACUUGAGAUAUUUUGACUCUCCAAGAUUCUUGGAAUGACUUAUAAUUUGGAAUGGAGGGAGUACUUGUCAUAGUCUGAUCCACUAUAUGGUCUAUGCAUUUUGUAGAUGAUUAAUCAUAUCAAUGUAGGAAGAAAAUUGUCUCCGCAAAGGUAACUAAAUAGUUAAACACUUCUUAUUUUUCAUUCCAAUCACAUAAUUUUAUGUUUAGUGCAAAGGCCAGGUUUUCUUAGCUGAAACAAAUUACUCUAGUAUCACAUGGGCCAUCACAUAUUCUGCUCGUAAAACCUUACUAUUAUUGCAUCUUGUAAUAAUGUGAUUCCUCGGCAUCCAAAAUCUAGAAACAACGUACGACCUAUUUGGAAUGGUUCAAAUUUUAGGAGAAACUGGUUUUUUUUUACAAUUGUUCGCAGCAACCACUCGGUGGAGAAGCUCGAGCUAGAAAAAAAUAACAGAUUGGCUUUACCUAAGCUCCCAUGAUUGGACCUUGGCGAUGGAGACAAAGGUGUCCAGAUCCUACAUGGAGGUGGGUAGAUAUGUUCUUAACCAAACAGAGGGAAGCUCAAGGGUGACACCCUCAGGAGCUCAUACACUAAAUGUGAGGGCAAUGGCUAGAGGGGAGCAUAACAACAUAGGAGGUAGAGCCUAGCGACAUGAGAGCAUAUGAAUGAGAGGGAGAAGGCCGGCUCUUCCAACAUCAUCAACGUGAAGGAGUCAUGGUGAUCUCGGAGGCUUCUCAUGGAAAAUAGAGGAGUAGGGUGACAAUAUCUAUUGUCCUACCUAACUACUCCUGCUACAAGUGUUUCCUUUUAAUAUACUCUAAAGAGUUUCCGCAACCCCCCCCCCUCCUUCGGUGGUUGUCGAGUCAUGGCCACAGACAUGAUCUAUGGUGUUGCAUGCCCGAUGCUCUCCUUCUCUCCUCUCUUCCUUCUAUGGUAUCCAAUACCGAUCAUAACAAUAAGAGAGUGUGAUAGCCAAAGGGGGGUUAGUGUCGUCAGAGGAGAGGACAAUGCCGGAGGGGGGAUCUAUAUGAUGCACAAGAGGUGGUCUAUGUUAAUGUGUUUGGCCAUUCUCCAUUUGGCUAACGCUCAACUUCUAGGGCCUCUUUGGAACAAAGGAUUUACAAAAAAAUGGAAUGGGAAAAAUGUAGGAAUGAAAUGCCCUAACACUUGAAAUCCUACAUGAUUUUAGAGACCUUUUGGAAGCAAUGUGGGAAAAGCGCAGGAAACAAAAACAUUGAGGUUAGAGCUUAUGUUAGUUUCCUCCAAAAUUCCUUAACAAUGGUCUAAUCCAUAGGAAUUUCAAAAGAUUGUUUGAAAAUAUUCCUUUGUUCUAAAGAGCCUCAUAGGAAUUUUUCCUAUAGGAUUUAAAUCCUUCCUAUAUUUCUCCUCCAUUCCAAAGGAAGCUUAAAUGUCAAACUGUUCUGCCGAUUCAACAAAGUAGUGUGCACCAUCCCGGUGCUUGCUAGACAUCUUGAAUGCUUGUCUCGCGCAUGCAAUUUCUACCUUGUCGGAUCGUCUAGCCAAGACAACUUUUUGUUUUCUUGAAAUCUUUGUGAUUUCUUCUCCUCUCUUCAUGCCCUUUAUCUCUUUCAUAGGACCCAGUAGACCUUAUUUAUCAUAUCUUAGCACAAAUUAUAGUUUAGUGAUUGAGUUGCCCCACUAUAACAAGAAGAAGGCAGCCACCUCCUCCCUAUAACAAGAAGGCAGUCACCUCCUCAAAUGAGAACCUGUGAAGCUAGUUUUUUUUUUGAUGAAAUGAAGCUAGUUUUUUUCAUUGACUCAUACGAGUUGUUGCUACAUCAACACCGUAGUGGAGUGGCCGGACCUCUCCAAAGGGGUCAUGAGAUCAUGUUUGGUAGUUUUUCUACAAAUGGCUUCACCUAUGAAGUCAGAAAAGCCACGUUUAGGUGGCUUCAUCCUUCUAGUAAGAAAAUUGAUUUUAUUUUUUUCUUUGAAAUUACUCUCAGUUGUUUUAUAUGAGCUAGUAUUUGGCAGGACUUCACCCAAGAGGCCAUAACUUUCCUUGUACAAAAUAAUCACGUAUUUUUAUUUAAGUAAGCAUUAUUUUCUUAUUCCCCAAAUGUACUAUAUUUGAGGACAAGUUUUAAAUGCCAUAAUACACUACUCGCUCUGUCCUAUAAUAUAGUGUAUUCUAGUAUUCAAAAUUUGUCCUCAAAAUACAUUCUAGAGGACAAAAACUAAUUUUGUAUUAAAUAUUUUCCAUUUAUCAAUCAAUCACCAUUAAAUGACGUUGAUAAUAGCAUCUGAUUAGAAAAAUAAAAUGAAGGUAUAUGUGUCUUUUACGUUCUUCUCUUCAUUUAUCUUAAAAUUUCUACAAUAUACUAUAUUACACAAAAGAGGGAGUAUAUUUUAGAAUGAAGGGAGUAGAAGAUAUUCUAAGAUUUAAUGACAAUAUUUUUUCCAUUAGUAAACCAUGAAUUUAGUUGUCUAUUUUUAGUGGUAGACAAUUUAACAUGCUCAUCAAUAGGUAUGAGUGUAGGGUUGAGGGUGUAUUUGAGCACCAACAUCAUACCGUGUUUCUCCUAAAACUAAAAAGAAAGAAAGUAAAUAAGACCAUCAUUUCGUGUGGUAAUCGUCGCUCCGUCGGUCCGCCCCUCCCUACAAUCCCACACUCGACCGAACAGGGGUGGAAGGUUACGAAAAUAAAAUAAAUAAUAAGUAAGGAUUCCUGAUACAAAUAUACAAGAGGAAAAGAAUAUGUAAACAUAGAGGUGGAAGGGUGUAACAAAAAUAAAAAAUAAGAAAAGAUUCCUGAUAUAAAAUUGAUGUAAAGGUGGAAGGGUGCAAAAAUAAUAAUAAAAUAAAAAAGGAUUCCUGAUGUAAAAAACGUAGAGGUAAAAAGAUGUAAAAGAUUUCCUGAUGUAAAUAAUCGAAGGCCGCGUCACGCUGCCACAGCAUCCGCUGCCGCUCCUGCUCCGCUCGCCAGCUGCUCAGGUCUUCACCGGGUCCUUCACCGACGACGAGAGGCUCCGUGGUGCUGGUACACAUCACGGCCCCAUUAGGCCUCACGCCAUUCCAACGCAGCCUUCUCGCCAGCAACCUGUGGCCGGCUCCGGGGCACCAGCACGCAAGCAGCAUGAUGUGUUCAGCGCCGGCCAAUUUGCAUUCACGGGUGCCCACGACAACGAGUCAUUGUGGUGAUCCAUAUCGAGCAUUUUUUUUACAACAACCUCAUUUGUUAAUUAACAGCAAGAAGCUGUUAGAACCAUUACAAAGUUUAUGGUUACCGAUUGGAGUGUCACAAGAACCAAACACUGUCUAGCCAACACAUCUGCCAUUUGAUUCUGAGAUCUUCUAAUCUUGCGAAUGGAAGAGCUUGUGCCUGCUAAGAGAGAACUGAUCAUCUGUGUGUACGGUUUGAUUCUCCAAUCAGGAGGAUUAGAGAGGUCGGCUCCGUUUAAGAAGUGGACCAACUGUUGAUUAUCAGACAACUGUAGGUUGCCUCCUGGAGAUUCAAUUUUUGCAGGAUCACAGCUGCUACCAUCAUAGCUGCUGAUUCCGCCGUUAGGACGGAUGUUGAAUUUUGCAUUGCGGCCUUGAUAAAAAUGCUUAAUAGAGGAGACACCUGUGUGUUGAUGAUGAAGACUCCAAUUCCAGCUUCUCUGUGAAGAGAGGGAGUUUGAUCUGGCUGAGUUGAGGCAUCGGUGUAGCAUCGUGUUCCUUGAAUUAAGGUAGAAAACGGUUCUAACCACCUGUCCAGCAUGGCUGUAGAGUAGUUGUUACCAUGAUUUGAGGCGUCAUUGGUUCCUGCAUGUGCAACAUUUAUACCUUGGUUGUAGUUUGUGACAUUCGGAACCGCAUUAGUUGGCAUAGCUGGUGAAGAUGUGUCUACUGUUGUUCUGCUUGGACCAAUCAAUUGUUGGGGUACUGGAGUAGCACCUGCAGGAAGAGGAGAGAAGUACCCGACUGAUAUUUGUCAACAACAUGAUUCCCACUACAACAACCCCAAGCACGGACAACGUCGGCCCAUCAACAACUCACGACGUUGCCCAGACACAAGAGCCCAGACGCGGAGCCCGCAACAGAAAGCCGAACCCGAAGACCCAAGGCCCGGAGUGGGUGUGAACCACAGAAAUCGUUUCCGUGAAGGGAUAAGUAGUUCAGGCGAAAUAGGAGAGGGAUAUAGAAAAAGAACAUUGAACAAUUACUUGUAAAGCACUCUCCCGUUCUAAGAUAUAUCUGUGCUUCCGAUCCUAACUCUGUGCUAUCCUACCCAUAAUCCUUCUGCUUACAAUAUUGUUCUUGUUCUUUUAGUGCCUCAAGGUGUUGAGCACCGGCCGCGGCAGAGCAAUGGCCAAGGGCCACGACUACCUGUUGCAGUAGGGCCUUGUUUAGUUCUUAAAAAAUUUUGUAAAAUUUUUCAUAUUUCCCAUCAUAUCGAAUAUUACGGCAUAUACAUGAAUCAUUUAAUAUAGGUAAAAGAAAUAACUAAUUGUACAGUUUACCUAAGAAAUAACUAAUUGUACAGUUUACUUAUAAUUUGUGAGACGAAUCUUUUAAAACUGUAAUUGAGCAAUAUUUGUCAAAUACAAACGAAAGUGCUAUAGUGCUUAUUUUGCAAAAAAAAAAGUUUGGAACUAAACAAGACCCACAGAGCCUCUCAACGUUGCAGUAAGUAAGCACUACGUGGUAUGUCAGAUUCUGUAAAAGUAUUAGAUAAAAACAAAUAAGCAAGUGCUUACAGGACAUUCAAAGAACAUGAGGUUUGCAAUUGCAAUAUCUACGCCGCAAGCCUCCUUUCCGCCCAACAACCUGCAGCUAUCCACGGGGCAGCAGCAUGCAGGCAAGCCAUAAGGUGUUGAGAGCACCGGCCGCGGCAUCCACGGGCGGCCACGGCAACAAGUCAUCAUCGUGAUCCACAUCGAGGCUUGCGGGUUGCAGUAGUCCACGGAGACCCUCAACGUCACAGCACUACGUGUCCAUGCCACUAUGCCAGUGAUCUGUAAAAACAAUUGAGCAUGCACUGGCUGGCCAUUCAAAUAAUACAGGAGAUUUGCAAUAGCAUUCACUACUACACAAAAACUUCAUGGAGACGGACGAAAAGCAUUAACCGAGACGCUCCAAUGAAAUGUCAUGAUUAAUCGGAUCUAACCCGACGGUCACGUGAAGGUGCCCACCUCGAUUAAUGUUAGCAAAAAAAAUAGAGGCGGACAAAAAGCAUUAACUGAAGCGCUCAAGGUUAUAUGGUUAAUCGGACCUAACCAGACGGUCGGUUAAUAUUUAUGAAAAAACCCAAAAAACAAAUCAUUUAUACAUACAUAUAAUACUUAUUUUUUAUAUCAAUAUUUCAUAAUCUUACAUUAGGUAUUUUAGCUAUUAAAUGAAUUCAAAUGAAAAAACUUUUAACUAUAAAGUUUUAAAUCUUAUUGAGUCUACAACUUUGGUAUAUAAUGUAUCGCCAUCAGAGGUAGUUUGAAAAAAAUUCAAAAAACUGAGCCUUAAAACAUGUGAAUUUUAGACAUAUAUUUGAGACUCUAGGUGACUUUAAAUAAAAAAAUUAUCAAUAUCAAACAUGUAGAUCAGGUGGGCUACUAGAACUUUGGUAUUAACUAUGUGAACAUUAGAGAUCAUUUAGGAAUUCAAAUAUUUAAAUUUCAAAAUGUAUAACCUUUAAACACAUAUUUGAGACUCUAAACAUCUUCACAAAGUUGUAGAUUCUAUUGAGAACUAUAACUUUUCUGUAGACAAUAUCAAUAUUUGAGAUUGUUUGAUAAUUUUAAAUUUUAAAUUUCAAAAUAUGCACACUUAAAACAAUAUUUUCGGAACCUAAACAAUUUCAAUUCAAAAACUUUUCGACUACAAUGUUGUAGAUCUCGUCGAAAGCUACAUUUUUGAUAUAAAGUUUGUCUUCAUCUAAAUUCAUGCAAAAGUUAUGAAUUAUUUUUUGUUGUAACCAUUAAUCCAGGCGGGCAUUGUAACGUUACUGCCUCGGUUAAUAUCGAUUAACCGAGGCGGUUACGCUACAAUGCCUGCCUCGGUUAAUGUAAUAACUGAAGCAGUUACGUUACAAUGCCCGUCUUAGUUAAUAGACCACGAUUAGCUGAGGCGAGCCGUUGGCCCAACCGCCUUCAAAGGGGUUUUCCUCCUAAAAGAUUUUAAUAGUAGUGAUUAUGGCAAUAUACCAUACAUUCAUCAAAUUUUAGCACUUGCUUUAGCUAUUGUGACUAAAUAGGAACAUAUUCCCAAUGUAUGAUCAACACAUCCCAAUGUAUGAUCAGCCUAAAUAGAAAGAUGAAGCUGAUUAGCUAACAUAAAUACGUCUUUUGCUAUGGCAUAGAAGCAAAAACAACUGAUCAAACUGUGAUUAAAAACUAUUGUUGUCUAUCUACCAUCCGUUGACUUUUUAACUUUUUCAACAGAAAGUAACAGAUAAGAAGACAUUUAAAUAUGCAAUUAAAGCUUUUUAUCUUUCAUACAAGCUGCAUGUUUUCUUUGCAUUAGUGCAAUUGAUUGUAUACUAUAUAAAGCUUUAUCUAGAUUAUGCCUGUGUCGAUGAGUGCCUAUACUGUCUUCGAUGAGACUAUCUCCAACAAUCGUCACCCAAAAUACAAGACCCAUUUGUCCUUUGGGUAGCGCUACAGGUAAAAGGUUCCAUACCUAUUUUUAGUCUUCUCCAACAACAAGACCUAAAAGACAACACUCUCUGCAAAUGGGUCUCGAGGAGAGAGGAUAUCUAAAUUUGGGUUAUGCCUCUCCUGAUACCCAAAAUAGGUCUUCUGUAUGGGUACUCUGUUGGAGGCUAUAGGUAUUGUGUUGGAGACCCAUUUUAGGUUUGGGUUCCCAAAUGGGUCUCCCUGUUGGAGAUAGCCUGAGCACUAGAGACAAUAUGGUUAGUGUGAGAGCGACCAAUGUAUUACGGUCCGCAGACCCCAUGUUUAUAUGGCCGCUUGUGCAUAGUGUUCAUCGUGACGAUGCGCUCUCCGUGACUGUGACGCCACGCUCUUAGGUCUUAAUUUUAUGAAGUUUGUUUUUUAAUUAAAUAUCACUUUAAUAUUGGUAUUUAUUUUUUAUAAUAUUGUUAUUUUAUCGUGUGAUCCGUGUGUUUUUAGUAUAAAAAAUGUUAGUUAUCUCGUAGCAAUGUACAGACACGCUACCUAGUAUAAAAAUUAAAUAUCAAUUAUAUAGGUGUAAAAUUGACACCAUUGCACGAAAUCCAUUAAGGAAACACAUGAUAUUGUUGAUACUAUUGCACACAAUCACCUGAAUAUCUUGCCUUCCCAUUUCAGGUAAGAAAACUUAUCGAUACAUUUUCUAAAUUUUUGGGAUCGAAAUGUGAACCCUGAGGAAUUGGAGGUCCCAACAGCAAAAAGUAGAGACCACUACCAUAACCCAAGUCUUAAAACCGCUCCAUCAGAGGAAGGACGGAGAGGGCGCGCAGCGGAGAAGGGUUUGGCGGCUUCGCCAAGAACCAUGGAUUCAGGUAACGAACUGUCCCUCCCUUUUCUCUGGUUACUGCAUGCUCUCCUUUGGUUUAUUGCCCCCCUUUUUCCAUUUCUUUUGGUGAUUUUUACCUGUUUCCACGAGAGGUAGCGUUCUUAAGCGAGAUUUAUGUUCCUUUUUCCGUCUGUUUCGAUUUCCAGAUGCGACAUAUUUCGUAUCCCCUGUUUUUCUUUUCUUUGGUUAUUAAUCAGAACCACAGUUCUGUAGUUUACCUAGAAGUAAUUCAUUGUCAGGAGGUUGUCUAUGAUGCCAAUAACUUUUUACUUGUUUGUGCCACUAUGAAACUCUAGGUGUUAUAACUCUGCAUCAGCAACAGAGUAAUUUGGGAUUCUUGUUUAUCUUGGAGAACACUGAACCCUGCAUAGAAAUUCCAGAUGGCGGUGAUUUUAUUGUUUCUAGUCACUAGUUGUAUGCAUCAUUGUGUAUGUGGACGAAGAAAUCUGAACAGCGGCAAUGAUAUCAAUAUUUAUGUUUUAAACGAAAAAAAUAAUUCUUUGCAUAUCACUAUCAGUCUAUCACACCUUCUCCACUCUGACCAUUUCUGAACCUUUGGAAGACUAUCAUAAUGUGAAUGGACUUGUUCCCUUGACUGGAGGAGGUAAGAGCGUCAGGUUGAUUUUAGUGGCCCAUUGCUGGAACCUGGAAUUCUUUAUCCAGUACUUAUCUGACUGCAGAGUAAUAUAUUUUCUUUUUGGUCUUGUUGGGACACCUGAACCUGCUAGUGAUAAUGAAAACAACAUUCACACAUUACGGACUUUUCAUAGGCGGGAGUGGGUCGCUUUUGUUUUUAAAAGCCCAUAUGUAGCUGAAGUGGUUAGCAAAGCAGUGUGGCUAUAUGAAAUGGUGCAGAUAUAAAACCCUGGUCAAUGAAGAAAAGUGCCUUUUUGAAUAAAAUACUAAUGUUUUUUAGGCUUUCUAUGGGAUACUUUUCAGAAUAUAUUCGAGUAAGAAGAAAUGAAAAUAUCAUGUGUGAUGCAAAGUCUAGAUUGUUUUUAUUGAACCACUUAAUUCUCAGAGUGUAUUAGGCCUUGUUUAGUUCCCAAAAUUUUUCAAGAUUCUCCGUCACAUCGAAUCUUGCGGCACAUGUAUGAAGCAUUAAAUAUAGACAAAAACAAAAACUAAUUACACAGUUUGCCUGUAAAUCGCGAGACGAAUCUUUUGACCCUAGAUAGUUUAUGAUUGGACAAUAUUUGCCACAAACAAAUGAAAGUGCUACAGUAGCGAAAUCCAAAAAUUUUCACGAACUGAACCAGGCCUUAGUUUGAUUCUGUCAACUACAGUGGCAAUACAUGCUUCAGUCAAAUAUUUAAGGUGUUAUCCUAGCUUAUUUUGUUUCAGCUUCUAUUGUUUCCUUAUUGUUUUUCUUGUAAAACUCAACAAUUGGUUAGUGUGCCGUUUUUCCACUAACAGUUCUUGUUUAUAUAAUAUUAGGUUGAAUGGAUCUUUUAAGUUGAUGUAAAAUACAAAGGACAGCAUGGGGACCAACGAUUUUGAUGGUUCAGAACUUGACAACAAGACAACUUCACUUCAUGAUCAGUUCUCAACACAGUUAUCAUUAUCUAGUUCCAAUGAUAGCGAGGAGAUUGCAACUUCUUCAUGUCCUGACAAGGAAUGUCCUUUGGCCAUCCUUAAUUUAUCCCUAAAAAGUUUUAAGCAGGUUGCUACCGAGGAGGAUGCAGUUAAAUGGAGUCUUGAAGAGAACGGUUUACCCUUUGUUCUUUCAGACUCGGAAUGGGGUGAUUCUUCAUAUGCUAGCUCUCUCAGCGAACAAUCAUCUACGAUCAGUACCCCCAGUACGCCAUUCACUGUACAGUCAGAUACUCAGUCUGAGGAUCUUGACAGAACAGAUAUCUGGGUUUCUUCUUUAGAUCUUGAAGCUGAGGAUUCUGCCUUGCUGCCAGACAAGGAACAGCUUCCAGAUGUACUCGGUUUUGAUUUCCCCAGCCCUUCUUUCAGUUCAAUCAGAAGCCUCCAGUUUGGUCCUUCCAGUUAUAGUACAGGAACAUUGCAGGGCAAAGAAGCCAACGACUCUGAUGAGCCAAUAUUCUGGCCAUUUGAGUGCACUUCCUACAACAGUCCUGAAUUUGACAAAUUUCUGAGUGUGUCGCCUCGUAGGAACACAACGGAUCUCAGGUAUGCUGAAGUUCGUCACUUGAAUCCAAUCUUGCAGAGGCUCCGCAAGAACACACUUUCUUCAGUGAAGAAGUGCAUUGAACCGCGUCAAAGGACUAGCAAUUCAGACCCAAAAGGAAGCACGGCCUCCUCCCAAGAGAAGAUUCAGAAGACGCCUGCAGUUCCCUCCAGGUUAAGCAGGACAACAAAAGCAUCUGUACCCUCCAGUCAUCACCAGAAACGAAGGCCACCUCACCUGAAACUUGGUGGUCCAAGAAAGGUUAGCACUCCACAAUUGCAGGCAGAUCAUCAUUCUACUAAAAAGAAUGAAGCAUCAGACGUCCAGAAACUAGCGGAUAAGAAGAGUCGGAUUGAAGAGUUGAUUGGAUUGGAUGAGUUUGAUGGCCAUGAAGGCAUGGGCUCGGAUUCGUCAGACCACCAAUUUAAUCUAUGGAUAUCUCCAAGGUAGUUGGCCUAUGCAAUCAUCCUGCUGUAAGCAACCUACCAUGAGCGAUCCACAUAGGUUCUUCCAUAGGUCUGUCUGUAGCAAUCAGCAGCCAUUACAUUGUGGAUUUAAGUAUCCGUGCAUUAGCAUUGCUGUGAUGUCAAAGGCAGGGUUUUUGUAAACCAAGAUGGUGUGCUUCGUAAUCCUCAAUAUAUAUAGGACCUGUUGUCUGAUGUCAGUUUCAGGUCCUUUUUUUUUGGCAAUGCUAAUCUAGAUCUGACAUCAGAUUCUGGUGCCCUUGCAUCAUGAUGUAGUAUGGCAUAAUGAUAAUGGCAUCUGCAACUGCAACUGCAAAGAUGUAGCAUGUAAAGUUGAAGCUUCCCGUUCAAGUAUCUGCGAAAAGAUGUCAUAUGCAUACAUCUGCAUUAGCAAGUGCAGCAGUACAAGUGCCACUUGUAUUCUUAGCAUUUGUCGCCUACCGCUUUGCUUGGCCAUCCACGCAGAAGUGUUCAGAGGCUUGCAAUGUUUGGUUCACGUUCAGCGGAAUCGACUCAGAUGGCAACAAAUCCUAGAAAGCUGGCGCUGCCGUAUGCAAAAUCCUUUGGCGGCUGCGCUGUUUUGCAGAAACUGAUGGACUACGAGGCGUGAAGAAAAACCCCAUCUCAACACUUUGUGUCGAUGUUAAGAUGAUCUUUUUCGUGUUGGCUGCCGACCACAUCAUAUUUAUAAAAGAGAAAGUUAUAUAGAAAACCUGAUGGUUUCUUAUGUUCCUACGUGGCCCCAUGGAUUGAUUGAUGCUUACUAGAGUUUAGCAUGGGCAAAGUAUCCUGUUCCAUUUCUCUUCUUGAUGACACAGUGGCUACUAGCUAAAUUGGCAUGCACUCCCUCCACUAGAGAAUCUCCAAGAGUUCUCAAUAUUUUGUCCCUCAAAAUAUAGUAUUUGUCAAUUCACAAAUUAGUAUAGGGAAGAAACAAAGAAGUUGUAACAGUCAUGAUCGGGGCAGUCACCGGCGGCCUAGGCAGGGAUGGCGUCUAGGCAGAGAGGGCGGCGGUGUGGAGAGCAGGGCUGGUGGCUAGGGCAGGGAGAGGGGGCAUACCGCAAGAGAGAGAUAGGAAAAGAGUUUUCGCUCAUCUAUUACUUCAUUCAUCUCAUUACAUAUCCCUAAGUAUUUAUAGUCCCUAGAGGAUUUGACUUGCAAGCAAACUAGGAGAUCCUUAUCAAACACGGAUUCUUCUUUCCAUCUAACAAACUCUCAACUUUCUAUCUUAACAAACUCUUUCUAAAAACCAACUGCAAUUAGUAUAUUGUAACCAUAGAUAGCAAUAACGGAGACGACAGCGACGGUGGCCCGUGGCCGUGGCACCCUCUCUGAAAGGUCCUAUUGGUUUUAGUAAUUGAGUGAAGACUUAGGUGGACUAAUAGUGUUUACACAGAAGAUUAGUCCAUAGGUGAAUAAUGAUGAUGGAGAAGCUCAUUGCAUAUGAGACAUGACAUGGAGUCAUGUGACCAAGGUGGAGAAGAUCAAGACGAGGCUUGGUUUAACGGACCGGUUGCAAGUGUGAAGGGUAAGUCGGAGGCUUUGAAGCGAGGGACCGCGUGUGACGGUGAAGCUUGAGCAAGACUUGGCGCCAAUGGACCGAUGCAACGGUGAAGAGCAAGUGAGGUCAAGAUCGAUGAACCAAUACAGUCACAUGAUGAUAUGAAGUGGAUCGUAUUAUUUGUUGAUUGGUUGGUGCAUGUGUUGCAUCAACAUUGGAGGAGGUGGAAUGGAAGGCGCAAGGUAAAGGUAUAACCUAGGGCAUUUCUAUUUCACCAGUAAUGAGUGUGUAGAGAAGUUUAUGACUGGAUUUAGGAUAGAUGGCCGUACUAUCAAGAGGGGCAAACUUGUUUGCAUAUCGAUUAUCUAGUGCCACUUGAGCGAUCUAACUCUGCAUACAUGUUAGGAUCGAGUGGCAUGGCAAGUUUGAGAGGUUAACUCCUUUGAAAAAAUAUUUGUGAAAUGCUAACACACAUGCACUUGGUGGUUUACACAUGGUGGUGUUGGCACAUUUGCAAAGGAGGUGGAUCUUUCCAGUAAAAUCCUAUGUAGUCAUAGGUUUUGUCGUUCCCACAAGCUUGUAGAGAGGGAUUCAGCAUUUUCGUGAAAAUAAAGUGCUCAUUUUCCAUUGCACCGGAGAAAAAUUUUAGAGAAAUCGUGGGAGCACUCACCGGACGCUGGCUGCAGAGGCAUCGGAUGCUGGGCCAACGUCCGAUGCGUGCUGGCUAAAUGGCACAGUUUUGAGUGGUGCAUCGGCACAUCCGACAAGUUCACGUCGGACCUUGGCCAGACACUGUUGAGCAUCCGGUGCCGAGUGAUGUCAGCAAGGACAUGAGCCAGGGUUUCGUUCGGUGUGCGCGUCGGACGCUGGCUACGUCCAAUGGCACUCUGUCAGACGCGUCUGAUGCCUCUCUGAGAAGUUUUGAACCUCUUUGAGGUGUGGACCGUCGGAGCGUUCGGUGCUACUAUUUUAGGUGCACGUGCGAAUUAGCCAUUGGUGGCAACAGUUGAGUUCAAACGGUUAGUGACACGCUGAUAUGCAGUAAGGACUCCGAUGGCUCAAGUUUGACCAAUUGUUGAGCACCCUCACGCCUUGGUGGCUUGUGUAGGUGUGCUUGGAUGCCCUCUAACUCACUUGUGCUUGCUAGAUUGUGAAUCAAUAGCGACUGAGUGAUUCUAGUGUGAUUGCAUUAAGAAAUUGCAUCGAGUGGCAUUAGAUAUUCGUGUUGCAAGACGGUGGUGCUUGUUACUCUUGGAGGUUGCCACCUCCUAGACGGUUUGGUGGCUUGUGACUCUAUCGAAGCACACAAAAAGAUUAUGUGAUGCUCCAGAGAAGUGAUUGUGAGGGGUAAGGUACUCACCCCACGGGGAUCGCGAAGAGCAACUCUAGUAGAACGAGACGCGAAGGGCGACAAGUGGUCCGGAAAGGUAAAGUGCUAGAGCUUGUGGUAAGCACUCAACGUGGGAGAGUAUGACUUGCGGGUCACCACUAGCAAGAGGACCGAUGACAGCCUUGGAGUUGUCUCAACGGGGACAUAGCUUGGUGGCAACCAAGUGAACCUCGAGAGAAAAUCAUCAUGUCAACAUUGUUGUUCCCAUUGGUUUGCAAGUCUCUAACACAAGCUUGUAUUUACAAUCAUAUACUUGUGCUUAUGUAGUUGCUCUUGUAACUAGUUUAGCUUGUGUAGCUUGCUAGUUACCUUCUUGCUUAUGUAGCUAGAAGUAGUUCCUUUGCGUGGCUAAUUUGGUUUGUGUAACCUUAAUAGUCACAUUUCUUAGUUUGUGUAGCUAAGUAGUUUGCGCUCUCUAAUUUGGCAUUAGUUGCCUUGUUAUUGAGCAUUGCUAGAAGCUUUGUGCUUUUGUUUACUACUUGUGUAGGAGUUCCUCGGUUUGCAAAGUACUAGUGGCAUAUGUUUGUAUGAUCUUGCUCCUAGAUUUGGUUAGGUGAGCUCUUGCUAAGGAAGCACCAUGUUUGCUUAUUUAAGAUCUUUUUACAAGGUAUUAGAGAACUUAGAUAGAGGGAUAUAGUCUUGGCUAGACCGAUAGUUUUAAUUCCGCAUUUGUUUCGAUAAGCCGGCACGAUAGGUUUUAGAAAGGACUAUUCACCUCCCCUCUAGUCCGCCAUCUCGACACUUCACCCUCCCCUUUUAGGCGCACACCCCUCCUAGGGCAGCCUAGCUGCGCGAGGUGUGUGGCAGCGGUGGUGCCCCCUGCUUGGUCCUUGGUUGGCCCGUUUUCUCCGCCGAUGAGUACAACCCGUGUUGGGCAUGUGACAUAAGUCAUCUCCAAAAGUUUCCUAUAUUUUUAUCUUAAAAGUUUUUUUCUCAAUGCUUUUUUUUUCUACGAUCUGGUCUUAUAUUUUACAUUAGAAACUCUAAAUUUAUUUUUGUACUUGUUUAAGCUCUUCCACUAGAUCUUUUUCUUGAGCUUUUCUUCACAUGAAACCCUGUCUUUUCUUCUUUUCCUUUUCCACCUCAUCCUACUGUUGGGUAUUCUUAACAUCAUUACCAAAAGUAGACUAAGUUCUCUAAAUCUAGUAACGGUGCCAAAAAUGCCAAACCUAUCCCUCACACCACUUAAGCCAAGUUGUCAUCCCCAGCAUGAUAUAAGAGACGCGGUAUUGAAAUAUGCAAUUGCUCUUCUAAAUAAAUAAUGAAUGAGAUCUGCAAACGCACAGAUUAAUACCGAUGCAGCAUUUUAACCGGGAAGUAUUCUAGGUAUCGUUAUUUAUAUUUUUACCACUGGGAAGGGAUUAGCAAUCAUCAAUAUUGAUUACAGAAUAGAAUAUGAGAUUGAGCAUCUAUCAUUGCAUGUAUAAUUGAGAACAUUGUAUCUAACUCAUCAUACAGGGAUAAGUGUCACAUAAAAGAUAUAUGAAAUAAUAAUAGUGACAAGGAUAACUAAUCUGAUCUAGCCACAUAAUAAAUAUGAUAAGCACCUCAAUUAGAUACUCUAGAAAGUCAUUAGCAUGGUAUUAGAACGAACUACAAGAAUAUUCCCUAAGUUAUUCUCAACUAUAUAGUCUAGCAUUAUCAUAGUUAGUGCAAGCAUACUUAGCAAUCCUUGCGAGACAAGACUACGCCCAUGCAUAGUGAUAUUAGCAAGGAAUAUGAGAAACAUAGCAAUCACUCCCCUGUAAUAAUGUUGCUCUGCCAGCCCAAUACACGAGAGGGGGACUAUAUAAGAAUCAAUGAAGCUGUCACUAUCACGAACGACCCCACGAUCUGGCAUAUUGGGUACAAUCGCAGAUAAAUACGGUAUAAGCACCACGCCUACACAAUAUCUAUCAUUUACCCAUGGAUCCGAUGGAUAAACGCUAUACGAUCCUAAGCAUGUAUAUAGAUCGAAUCUAACUAAGCCAAGUACAUAACUAUGAUAAACUAAAAACAAUAUAAUCUUGAAUAUAAGCAAGUAGAGCAAAGUCAUAAGCAAUAUAUUGAAGUAGAACAAAGUCAUAUUCAUAAUAUUGAAGAACAAAGAUAAUUAGAAAGUAAUUAGAAGCACAAUUAGAGAAUUACCAAGAAUCCUCUUGACAGAUCCGGAAACUAAUCGAAGAUUGACUCCUUCUAGUUCUAAUCCUAUGUAGCUAUGCUAAUCUAGAUAUUUAAUUGAUGUGGUGGCUCUAAUCUUGAUCAGGGGCUUCUUCUCCCUUGAUGGAACAAUGAAUUAGGGUUGAGAGGCUCUCUCCUCCAGGGGCCAGAGGGUCUGGUUUUAUAGUCCCUUCAAGUGAAUAUGGGCCAUUGGAUCAAACCGACAUAGAUUGUAUGGUUUAGAUUCAUCCUUUAGGUCGGUAGAGAUCUCCCACGAAGCAGAGUCCUGAUUGGACUUAGGGAGGGGGCGGGCGCCCAGGGCAGGAGGGCGGGCGCCCUGCCUCUGGCCCCGUUUCGCCUCCGCUUCGGUCUCGUGGCUUCUGGAGUCUUCUAGAUGUAAGAUAAUUGCGCGGCACGUUAAUAUCUCUAUGUAAUCCCGACGUGUGGGCCUUUCUUCCGUAUUUCCUGAUAACCCCCUGCAGAAAUAGACAAACACCAAAACUCGUGGAAUUCUGUCAGAUAAAAUCCUAAGUCUAGAUGUUGAUUUCAUUUGGAUCCUUUUCUUUAUUUAUUUGAUAAUUAAAUUUGAUACUUAAGGACCGUCAACACCUACUUAUCCGGAUGCACGGUACCAUGCCACACGUAUAUUUACGCUAAGGUGACCAUGGUGUACCAAGUGUAGAAAGAUAGGGAAGAGAUAUGAGAAACUCUUGGAGGUGUUUUUUGUUUUAAAAAAUAUGGAUAAGAAAUGAAUAUGAGACACUCUUGAAGAUGCUCUUACAAAUUAUAAGAUAUUUUUGGCAUCUCUAGAUACAUAAUUUUUAUUAUUAUAUGUAGGCAUAACAAAAGUUAUAAAUCUAAAAGAAUCAAAAUGUCUUAUAAUUUGAAAUAUAAUGAAUAACUCUGUUAGAUUUGAUCAAUCAGAGGGUGCCAACAUGACUCUCGCCUAUCUUAACCACGCCCACAUUGAUCAUGUUCUCGACAUUUUUUGUAUUUUGAAUUUUAAUAAAUUAACCAAAAUUUGAGUAAAUGUGUUCCAUUAAUUUCUUGGGUUUUUUGGUUCCGUGCCAUUACUAUUUUCUCUCUUUUGAAACAUGCCAUUACAAUUCGUCUUAUGGGAAGCAGGCCAUUACAAUUUUCGCGUUCUUUGAAACAUGCCACUAGAUACGAUUGACGAUGUAUCAGGCCCACCUGCAGGCCGACGUGGCAUACGAAGACCGUAUACGUACGUCUCCCGUGCCCAAGGAAACGGACGCCGUCUAUUCCUCUCUCCCGUCCUUCUCUUCCAGUCGGUCUUCCCCACCCGUCCUCCAGCUCGAAGGAAAGGCCGGAGAACCCUAACCGAGGGCGAGCGCCGCCGCCACCGUGGUCGAGGGUCAGGCAGGCGAGGGUGGGCGCAGGCGGGCCGCAGGCCGUAGGCGCGCAGGUUUUCUUGGCGACGAGCGCAGGCCCGGGCGCAGCCAGGCGGCCUCGGCGGCGCGCAGGCGAGCAGGCGGCCUUGGCCUCGUUUGCAGGCGGGCUAGGCGGAUGGAGGACGACGACGGAAGGUAUUAGUCUCUCCUUGUGUCGAAUUGAGUCGAUUCGGAUUCAAUUCAUGGUCUGAUUUAUGCAUUUGUGUUCUAGGGUUGCACUGUUCGCGCUAGAAAUAAAAGUGGAAGGAUUCUGUAGCAUAGACUCUGUUGGUAGAAAAGCUUACACAAAAGGUCGUGUGCUUAAGUGGGAUGUGGAGUUAGGCUUGUUUUCCUUUGAGCAGUUGAUGACCAGAUUGAACAAUGCUGUCAACUGGUCUCCUAGCCAGUAUGCUGUGCUUUGGUUUCCUGACAAAAGGUUGUCUAAAGAUGUCAGACUAGAAAACCAGCUUAAGAUGGAUGAAAUGUUUGACAUGUAUAAGGAUCAGAUGAAAUGCCAAAUUAUCGUAGGAGUGUUUGACAAUAGUGUUUCCCAUGUUGAUGAAUUUGAUGAAUUUGAUGAUCUUGAGCCUUUAAGCUUCCUUUCUCCUGAGAUGUGCAAUGGCAGCCUACAACUUAGCAAUUUGAUCCCAAAUCCAGCUGUUCAUAGUGCUAACCAGCCAUCUAGCAGUAACCCAAAUGUUCCCUUGGAGGCUGAAGUUCUGCCUCAACUUGAGCCUGACAGGGAGCCUGACAUGUUUGACAAUACUGAAGAGUAUGUUGGCUAUGAUGAUGAGGCAAUGUACAUGACAUUAUCUCCUACACAGCCAUCUAGCAGUGCAGCACCAUCUAGCAAUCCACCUCCAUCUCAUGUUCAUGUUUAUGAAAAUGCUGAUGCUAUUCUUGAUGAGACAGAGGUCACUGAUGCCGACCCUGAAGAGAUCCAUGUUAUCCAUGAUCCAGAGAACCCCAAGAUUGUGAAGGGAGAAUUGUUUCCUGAUAUUGUAUCAUUCAGGAAAUCUAUUAGGCACCAUGCUGUGAAGAAAGGGUUUGUGUUGACGGGUAUAAAAACAGACAAAACAAGGUUUCUUGCAAAGUGCAAAGCAGAUGGCUGUCCUUGGCGCAUACAUGCAUCCAGAUUAUAUGAUAACAAGACAAUACAGGUAUGUUCUUGUCAUCUAGUAAUUGUUAUAUCUUUGUGAUUCUUAUGUUUUAAUUUUGCUUAACAUUUAUUUUAUGUGCAUAUUAAAACAUUAGUGGAUCAUCAAGCUGAUAAGUGUCCAAGUACAAAAUUUACAGAAAAUAAGAUGGCCUCUCAGGACUGGUGUGCAGAUAGGUUAUCAGAUUGGUUGAAGAAGAACCCAACAAAAGAGCCAACAGAUUGUAAGGACAAGUUGGAAGAAGACUAUGGCAUCAAGCUGAAGUAUUCAAAGGCUUGGUCUGGUAUGAUGGCUGCCUUAGAUAAAAUUCAUGGUAAAUAUGAAGAAAGCUUCCAAUUGUUGUUCAAUUGGGCUGCUCAAAUAAAAAUGGUGUCACCUGGUAGCAUUGUAGAGGUAGAAGUAGAAAAAAUUGGUAAGAAAUACAGGUUUAAGAGGAUGUUUGUUGCCCUCAAACCUUGUAUUGAUGGAUUCAUUGCUGGUUGUAGACCAUUUUUGGGAGUAGAUGCAUCUAGUUUGAAUGGUAAAUACAAAGGGCAAUUGGCAUCAGUAACCAGUGUAGAUGGACAUAAUUGGUUGUAUCAUGUAGCAUAUGGUAUUUUUGAUUCAGAAACUGAGGAAAACUGGCAGUGGUUUUUGGCACAGCUGCAUAGAGCAAUUGGGGAUGUACCAAAUCUAGUAAUUUGUUCAGAUGCUUGCAAAGGUCUUGAGAAAGCAGUUGGAGCAGUUUUUCCAACAGCUGAAAACAGGGAGUGCAUGAGGCAUUUGUACCAGAACUUCAUGAAGCACUACUCUGGUGAUGUUUUUACAGACCACCUGUAUCCUGCUGCUAGGAGUUACACUGAUGGGUUGUUCAACUGGCACAUGAAUAAGAUUUAUGAGUUUGCUCCAGAUACUUUGACAUACCUUCAGACUUAUCACAACAGGAAAUGGUACAGAUGUGCUUUCUCAGAACAAAGCAAGUGUGAUUUCUUGACCAAUAAUGUGUCUGAAAGCUUCAAUGCACAGGUGAAGAAGUUCAAAGGUUUAUUGUUACAUGAACUUGUUGAUAGGAUAAGAGAGCUUAUAAUGGAGAAGAGAUAUCUGAGGAAGAAAAUUAGUAGAGAGUGGUCAGAUGGAAUCCUCCCAGGUGUGAUGAAAGACUUGAACUUGCUUAGCCAUAACAUAAAGUUGGUGAAGAUACAACCUUGUGAUGAAUAUGUGGCUGAAGUGACUAUUAGGGAUGACUGGGGGAAUCAGAGGAGGAGGACAGUGGACCUAGAGAACCACAAUUGUGGGUGCAGGGAGUGGCAGGUUACAGGGAAGCCAUGCAAACAUGCUAUACCUUGGAUACUUGCUAUAACAUGUAAAUAAUUGUUUUUUCUUUUUUGCUUGACUUAACCAAACACUUGUGUUUCAAUUGCAGGAAGAGGCCAACUCAAGAUGAUGCUGGACCUUCACAACCCAAGAAAAAGAAAGCUCCUAAGAAGAGUGUUGUUGCCCAGAAGAAAAAGAAGACCCCGGUCAAGAAGAAGUUGAUGAAGGCACAAGCUAACCCACCACCAGUUGUUGCCACCAGCUUGAGGCAGCUGAUUUUCAAUGAGCAGUGAGAUAAUGUGCAACACUAUGUAAUUUGGGCACUUUUGGUAGUGCCACUUUUGGUUUCAUGAGUACUGUAAUGUGCAGCACUAUGUAAUUUGGGCACUCCUAAGUACUGUAAUGUGCCACUCCUAAGUACUGUGAUGUGCUACUACUCCUAAGUACUGUAAUGUGUGGAUGCCAACUUGGUUAUCUAUGAAAUUUGGGUUGAACUCUAUUAUUAUCAUGAAAUGUUGCUGAAAUGGAGACAACAUGCUGCUGAAAUUUUCCAAAAUUAUGCUAAAAAUGGAGACAAGAUGCUGCUGAAAUUUUCCAAAAAUUAUGCUUAAAUUGGAGACAAUAUGCUGCUGAAAUUAUGAAAUUUGGGCACCAUUCAACCAAAUAUUCAAUUGCAUAUAAACAUUGAUCAGAGAACAAAGGCAAUGAUUCAUUAAUGGGUGGGAAACCCAUAAUCCAUUACAAAGAUACUACAUUACAUUCAGUUCACUUCAUCAUGCGGGCAACAACUAUGCCUAUUACCACACCAACAAGAACACCUACUGCAAUAUAUACAUCCAGCACAAUCUGCAUUUUCUUCUUAUUACCCAAGUCUUGCUUGUCUCCAAUUUGGGACUUCACUGAUCGAAGAUCCUCAACCACACUGUCCAGCGUUUGCUUCAUCUCAUACACUUGUUGCUUCAAAUCACCAAGAACAUCCCCAGAUGCUGAAUGGAAGGGCGAUUGGACCUGCAUAUGUCUCUGCUUUUGUUGAUUCACAUACCAGGCUGCAUACUGCUCCUCGGAACGGAUCCAACCACAAGUUGUUGGAUCACCCUGCACACAACCAAAAUCAAUCAAAAUGAAAUCAAAAAGAAGAAAAAAUAAGGCCAUCAACUCCUGACCUUUACGUUGUUUGGGCACUUCACAAACGGGACAUUCUUGGAGUGAGCUUGCUUGCUCACGAUUCGGAUCAGAGGGACAUGGCACUCAGGGCAGUCAAGUAGAGGGCACUGCAGCCUUCGAGUGGCAGCCGUGGUCGAGCUGGAGGAGGUCGCCAUGGGCUGGGCCCUUGGGCACGUCGAGCUGCCCCGGGCGCUGAAGCUGCAGCAGGCGCCGAAGCCGCGGCCGCGCACAAGCCGCGGCCGCGCUCAGGGCCAGCCCCCGAGCCCCCGUGCCCUAGGGAGCCGCCGCCGUGCCGCCAGUGAGCGAGCCGCCGCCGCCCGGGACGAACAGAGAGAGAUGAGAGCGCUCCACUUCGAGACACAGAGAGGAUAACGGGAAAAAUGACGGAGAGAGAUGAGAGCGCCCCAGAUGCCGUUUUCUUACGUACGUAUACGGUCUUCGUAUGCCACGUCGGCCUGCAGGUGGGCCUGAUACGUCGUCAAUCGUAUCCAGUGGCAUGUUUCAAAGAACGCGAAAAUUGUAAUGGCCUGCUUGCCAUAAGACGAAUUGUAAUGGCAUGUUUCAAAAGAGAGAAAAUAGUAAUGGCACGGAACCAAAAAACCCUAAUUUCUUUGGUGUCCUCAAAUCCAGUUUUGUCAACUCUACUGUUUGUCCUUUCAAACACUCGCAUCGCAUACGCUGAAAACCUACUUGAUUGAUUCUGUUCUCACAUUGGGCAAAAAAAAUCUGUUACCCCCUUCAAAAAAAUAUCUGUCACUGUGGAGAAAAUUGCAUUGCCUGCCAAGAAUUUCCCAUCCUCAGAAAAUAAAUAAAGAAGGAAAAUACUAGGAAACAGACAAAAGGCAGAAUCAGGAGGCUAUACGAAAGGAGGAGAAAGAGAGAACAAUCACGGAGUCCUCUUUCUUGUUGGGCACUCGGGCAGCGCGGCCCCCUUAUCUCCAGGGACCAGGGGAGGACGCACACCAACGCACCGCCCUUCCUUCCCUCCUCCUCCUCCUCCUCCUCUCUCUCUCCUCGGAAGGUGAGCACCCUCAGCGAUCCCCUCGUUGUCUUCUGUGUGUGAGUUCUUCGUUCUUGGGGGCUCCUGAUUCUAGUGUCGAGAUUUCCGUUCCUGUAUACAUGGAUGGAUUAGGAUUAGCAAUCGUUGUCGGUGGGCUCGAUUCUUGUGCCGCAGAAUCCCUGGAUUAUUUUUGGGGAAAUUCUUGAUUUUUUUGGUUAGUUUUGGUUGCGGAUAAGUGGCAAGGUCCAUCUUUCUCCGCCUUUAGAUAUAAUCUAUGUCAAUGCGAGGUUGAAACACUAAUUCAAUCGGUAAACGGAACUAGGUUGUGAUUUUCUCUGUCGCAGAAAUUGAAACACCUUUUCGUGAGGCCCGCAAUUCCAAAUCUUUGCUGGCUGUAUCGGUGCCCGUGCCCCUAUCCAUCCAGAUUGCCGCGGAUUGAUUUGCUACGAAGCGGGAGAACAUCUACCGCUAUUUUUAAGCCUGUCUUCCUGUUUCUAGCACAUUUUUUUUUUCCAUUUUUGCUUGUCACGGUUUAUUCUCUAUUUUCUGGCACAUUUUGUUUUUUUUGCAAUUUGUUUGGGGUCAGAUGGAUCAAGAGCAACAUACUGAUGAUUGGCAUGCACUAUUCCUGCGCAUGAUUAGAAUUGACCCGUUGUGUUUAUCUGAGAAUUUUAGAAGAUUGGUUUGUAACAUUAAUUAACCUUUGUAAUGUCUUGGUGCAGGUUAAGGGACGGUAUUUCUGACCAUGGCAGGGACCUUACUCCAGUCAGUUGCCCUCGGAACAACAUUCGGGGGUCGCAUAAGCACCCAGCGUUGGAGGUCCCAUGGCGCCAGGAGGCCUGCCUCUAUGUUGGCAAUGUCACUUAGCCGCCCCGUCAAGAUGUCAGCAUUUGUGGGUCUAAGAUCAGUGCAUAGCUUCUCGGUCACACCCACGGUGUCCAAUUCCAGGUCGACAGUUGCAUCUUACAGGUCAUCUCGACGGACAAGACGUUCUCGUUUUGUUACUCGGGCAAUGUUUGAGAGGUUCACGGAGAAAGCUAUUAAGGUCAUCAUGCUUGCGCAAGAGGAAGCAAGACGCCUGGGGCACAACUUUGUUGGAACUGAGCAGAUUCUCUUGGGUCUGAUUGGAGAGGGCACUGGUAUUGCAGCAAAGGUGCUCAAGUCCAUGGGAAUAAAUCUCAAGGAUGCACGUGUGGAGGUGGAAAAGAUUAUUGGCCGUGGCAAUGGUUUUGUUGCUGUUGAAAUACCAUUCACACCACGUGCGAAACGUGUUUUGGAGCUCUCCUUGGAGGAAGCUCGCCAAUUAGGUAUGUUGUUUAUCAAGGCUUCUUGUGAAAUGUUGUCCGUGUUGCGUUGUCUUAAAUUUCAUUUCCUAUUCUCUCUAAUUCAUGCACGAAAACAUAGUAGAAAGAAUUGCUGGUCAAGGUCCUUGUGAUACCCUUUUGGUCCUGUCUUCUAAUUUUACUUAUUCGCUACUCGAAAAAAAUAUAUUUGAAGAAUGCCUCUAUUGACCAAUGUUCUGUUUUCCCAAAAAGGAAUUUCAUUUUCCUAUUACUUCUGCGCUUGUGCAUUUUUCUAGAGAGUUCUAGAAAGCUCUCAGUUAGCAUAUUUUUGGGAGAAACUUUUUGACAAAAAUACAGUACAGUGUACAAAUGGUUGAUUAUCAGAUACAAAGAUAUCAAUUCAGAGCUUCCAUUGCACAUUCCCAUAAAUAUUGAAUACAUUAUUCUUAACUGAUGUCAGAGGGACCCUGAUGUGAUAAUGGACAAUUGAUUGCAAUAUUUGUAUGUAGUUAAUCUUCCAGGUCUGUCUGUUUUAUGUCACCUUUUUAAGUAUUCAAGUGGAAGUUGCGAAGUACAAUGAAGCAUCAUAAUCUCUUUGCAGUCCACUUAUUGUGGUGCUAUUUUAUAUCUUCAUGUCGAACACAUUUUAUAUCUUCAUCAAAGAAACUUUUGUAGUAACACAAGCUGAAAAAUAACAAUGACCCCAGUGACAGGUGGCUUCAAUCCCCAUUUAUCAGCAUCACAUUUGAUAUUUCCAAACGUCUACAUAUUUGCAUCAUCAUUAAACUAUUUUCCCAUUCAAUAAUUUAGGUCUUAGGAUGCAAUUGAACUAAUAGAUGCAUUUCUUUCUUCAUUGUCCUGCUUUGUGCACCUAUAAAGAAAUUUUCUGCUGUGCACAUCUAUAUGUAAAGUAAUCCCACCCUGCUUUCUCAUCUAAUAUGGUAACAGACGAAUACCUGUUAUCUUGUUCCUCAACUAAAUUACAGGUACUUCUUAUGUUGGUAAUUGUCAAGUAAUUUAUCCUAACAAGAAUAUCAUUUCCUUCUAUGCACCAAACCAUAGCACACUCCAUUUCCUCAUUAUAUUUCAAACUUUUAAUAACUUCCAUAGAAGAUUUAUCUCAAGCACCAAAUACUUGCUUCCCAGGACAUAAUUAUAUUGGAUCUGAGCACCUGCUUCUUGGACUGCUUCGUGAGGGUGAAGGUGUGGCGGCUCGUGUUCUUGAGAGUCUUGGAGCUGAUCCCAGCAAUAUCCGUACACAGGUAAACCUAUAUCUGAUGUCUAUUUCUGACACUAGUGAAAAGAAAUUUUGUUUAUUAGCCGUUUCUUUAAUGUCAUGGACCUCUAUAGGUUAUUCGAAUGAUUGGUGAGACCACAGAAGCUGUUGGUGCUGGAGUUGGAGGGGGCAGCAGUGGUAAUAAGAUGCCAACUCUUGAGGAGUAUGGAACUAAUUUAACAAAAUUAGCAGAGGAGGUAAUAUUUCUGACCUACUGCAUUAUAACCAGCACAAGUUCUGUAAUAGAACUCAUGUUGAUCAUAUCUGCAGGGAAAAUUAGAUCCUGUUGUUGGAAGGCAGCCACAGAUUGAGCGUGUGGUACAAAUUUUAGGCAGACGAACUAAGAACAAUCCCUGCUUGAUUGGAGAGCCUGGUGUUGGAAAGACUGCAAUUGCUGAAGGACUUGCUCAACGCAUUUCUACAGGCGAUGUACCUGAAACAAUAGAAGGGAAAAAGGUAUACUUUUUGCAUCAUCUCAAAGCAAUUAUGCAAUAUAUAUCUAUCUAUUUAUAGUAUUUUGCUGUCAAUUAAAUCUACAUCUAUUAUCUAUUAUUUACAUAAGAGCUUGAAUUGUAUCUUGUUCUUGUAUACUGUUGAUGAGGGUGCAUGCAUGUGUUGCUCUUUUCUCUCAUUUUUCUUGAGUUAUCCCAUCCAGUGGACUUUUAAGUUUGUAAGCACAGUUUAGUGAUUGAAGAACCUGCUCCAUAACCAUUGGAGAGAUUGUAGAAAUAAUCAUCUAUACUAGGCAGCACACUGAUUGAGCAAAUAGAAGAAGAAAGUAUGUUAUAAAUAUUUGUACUCUUUUGUGAUACAUUAAGUCAGAAUUUCUAAGUGAUUAAUCUCGUCUCACUGGUCGAUUCUGUGGUCUAGUAAUUGUUUCAACUGGUUGUAAAUAUACUUUUCUGCCACAUUUCUGUAUUCUUUUGAUGGGAUUGUGAGGAAAUGAUGGAUAUUCCUUCAACCAAUUUACCACAGGUCAUUACCCUUGACAUGGGACUUCUUGUUGCUGGCACAAAAUACCGUGGAGAAUUCGAAGAAAGAUUAAAGAAGCUGAUGGAGGAAAUAAAGCAAAGUGACGAGAUAAUACUCUUUAUUGAUGAAGUUCACACUCUGAUAGGAGCAGGAGCAGCCGAAGGUGCUAUAGAUGCUGCUAAUAUCUUGAAGCCUGCGUUGGCCAGAGGUGAAUUACAGGUGUGUAGAUAACAUGUUCCUAUGAUGUGGUGAACAUUCUCUUAUCAGUUCUUUUGGAAUAAGUCCAGUAUCUUGCUGUCCUUCAAGAUGAGCUUUCCAGCGUUCUUGCUUGUAAUGAGGUUGUUAUGACUAACCUAUUAUGUUUAAUUGCAGUGCAUUGGAGCGACUACACUUGAUGAAUAUAGGAAGCACAUUGAGAAAGACCCAGCACUUGAACGGCGGUUUCAACCUGUGAAAGUGCCAGAGCCAACAGUAGAUGAAACCAUUGAAAUUCUCAGAGGACUGAGGGAACGAUAUGAGAUCCACCAUAAACUUCGUUACACUGAUGAAGCUCUGAUUGCAGCUGCAAAGCUGUCAUAUCAAUAUAUCAGGUCUGUUAUCUGUGAACUGUAAAUAAAAAUAUAUCCAUGCAUCAGCAGAAAAUGUAAACACCACAAAGAAAAUUAUGUUAGAACUUUAGCUUGCAUCUCUGGAAAAACAACUAUGUUUGUCCAUCCACAAUUUAUUUUUGCUACUUUAUUGCAUCCUAAUGAUCAUCUGACAGCAUAUUUCUGUUUACAGUGACCGUUUCCUCCCAGAUAAGGCAAUUGACUUGAUUGAUGAAGCAGGUUCCCGUGUUAGGCUACAGCAUGCACAGGUACGAAGUCAUCUGCUUUUGUUUAUUUGUAUGCUUAAUUCAUGCAUGCAUGCCCUAAACAUUUUCUAAAUUUUACUUUUGGUGCAGGUUCCUGAGGAAGCAAGAGAGCUUGACAAGGAGCUUAAACAAAUCACGAAACAGAAGAAUGAAGCUGUUCGUAGCCAGGAUUUCGAGAAGGUAACUGACUAUGGAUAAUCUGUUUGCAUCUCUUUCAAGUUUGUGACACAACUUAAAUGUUGCCUGACCUCCUGAAGAUCAUAUUAACUUAUAAUUUCCAUCCACCAAAACUGUUCUAUAUACAAUAGCUUGUACAUAGAAAAUAUUCAAUACAGUUGGGAGAUUACAAAUAAUUUUGGAUGAUUCAGUAAUUCUUGUUCAUUUCAUCAAUCAAUGCUCUUACUUGAGUGAAAUUUCCCAUUUCCAUUUUAGGAUGUACUAACACAAUCAGAAUUAACAAAAAAAACAGUUGUUACAUGCUUUUGAUUUUAAAUAGUUAUCAGUGAUAGUUUUAUUUGAAUGAUAGUAACAUGCCCCUUAAUGUUCAUUCGACUAUGCACUUUCUUUCUUCCUGUUCUUUUGUUUAUUUAGCAAUUUGCACCUGCUGCAAUUGGAUAUGUGGAUGCCCUUGUUCUGCCUUCUCCCUGUACUUCUGAUUACUUAAUUGUUUGCACCUUUUCUAGAUACAGAUGUUCUUUCAUAGCUAAUUUCCCUUUCUAAAUGUUAUGCCUUUAGGCUGGCGAAUUGCGAGACCGUGAAAUGGAAUUGAAGGCCCAGAUAACAGCCUUCAUUGACAAGAGCAAGGAAUUGAGCAAAGCAGAGGAAGAGUCUGGAGAGACAGGACCUAUGGUCAAUGAAGCAGAUAUCCAGCACAUAGUAUCGUCAUGGACUGGCAUCCCUGUGGAGAAGGUUUCCAGCGAUGAGUCAGAUAAGCUUCUUAAGAUGGAAGAGACUUUGCACACGCGUGUCAUUGGCCAAGAUGAGGCUGUGGUAGCCAUUAGUCGCUCCAUCCGCCGUGCUCGUGUGGGUCUCAAGAACCCCAACAGGCCAAUUGCAAGCUUUAUUUUUGCAGGUCCCACCGGCGUUGGGAAGUCAGAGCUUGCAAAGGCUCUUGCAGCCUAUUACUUUGGCUCUGAGGAGGCUAUGAUCCGGCUUGAUAUGAGUGAAUUCAUGGAGAGGCACACAGUAUCCAAGCUGAUUGGUUCACCUCCAGGAUAUGUAGGAUACACUGAGGGUGGCCAGCUGACAGAGGCAGUUCGACGGCGGCCAUACACAGUUGUGCUCUUUGAUGAGAUUGAGAAGGCACACCCGGAUGUCUUCAACAUGAUGCUUCAGAUUUUGGAAGAUGGGAGAUUGACUGACAGCAAGGGAAGGACUGUGGACUUCAAGAACACACUACUGAUCAUGACCUCAAAUGUAGGGAGCAGCGUCAUCGAGAAGGGUGGGCGGAAGAUCGGAUUUGACCUUGACUCUGAUGAGAAGGACAGCAGCUACAGCAGGAUCAAGAGCCUGGUCAUCGAGGAGAUGAAGCAGUACUUCCGACCUGAGUUCCUCAACCGUCUCGACGAGAUGAUCGUGUUCAGGCAGCUGACCAAGCUCGAGGUCAAGGAGAUCGCGGAGAUCAUGCUCAAGGAGGUCUUUGACAGGUUGAAGGCCAAGGACAUAAAUCUUCAAGUGACCGAGAAGUUCAAGGAGCGGGUGGUGGACGAAGGCUACAACCCAAGCUAUGGUGCACGCCCGCUGAGGCGAGCCAUCAUGAGGCUGCUGGAGGACAGCCUUGCUGAGAAGAUGCUCGCUGGGGAGGUAAAGGAGGGCGA
rnacentral:lncRNA from 1 species